rnacentral:lncRNA from 1 species
AAUCUGAAGCAAAGACAUGAAGAACAAUAAGAAACUAAAAACAUGAACCACCUUACACACACGACACACUCAACUCCAAAACCCUUACUGGUAGAAGUUAAACUUAAACCUAAAAUGAGAACCAUGAUCACGACAAAUUCAAGGGAAAGGAAGAGAACCAGCGCCACCACCAGGACCACCGAGUCCACCACCGGUGCCCACUCCACUGCCUAUGCCGCCUAGGGUUCCGAGACCACCGGUGCCACCCAAGCCACCCAAGCUGCCGAGCCCUCCUGUCCCACCUAGUCCACCUGCACUACCGAUUCCUCCGCCAAGUCCGCUGACUCCACCUAGUCCACCAAAUGGCAGUCCAGAACCACCUAGUCCUGCAACACCACCGACUCCGCCGAAGCCACCGAGCCCGCCAAAGCCGACGAUAUUCUUUUGGUCAUCGAGACCAGCAUCACUAGGCACAGUCCUUGCAGUGGUGUGAACCACUGCUACGGCAAGCACUGCCAUGAUAAACCACUUUGCCAUCUCUCUCUUUUCUCACUUACUAACUCACGCUCUAAUGCUUCUUUUUGAGGGUUUACUCAGUUGCACCUGAAGGGUGUUGCGGGUCUCCUUUUAAAGGCCUAAAGGGAGGUGGGGGACAGUUGCACGUAGUAAAUGAAGUUAAAUGCUGACCAGUCCAUAGCUUUACUCAGUCGAUGGAAUUGAACAGGAUUUGUUGGAACUAUGCUUUGAGCUGCUGAACCUCAGGGCCUCAAAUUGAUCAACAUCUAACAAAUAAAAAUGAAAAUCACUUGCAUAUCAUCAUGGCUUCCAUACAGAUGUUAGGCCAUAUGUAUGGCUGUGAUGGGAUUCAGAAACUUGCUCCUACCAAGAUGUGCAUGACAGAAAACUUAAAAGUACAUGGAUAACGGACCACGAAAAAUGUCUUUCUCUGAUAAUUCUUUCGCGUUUUAUUUUUCACAUCCUGAAAUUUUCAGUUGAUCUCUUGCUAAGAGAAUGUAUGGAAAAAAUGAAUAACAAAUUAGAUAAAAUGAUACCUUAUCUUAACACCACUCUGUCGUGCAUUUCGUCUCUUUGGGCUUACCAUAUGAUAUAGAAAGCGAUGCAACAUAACAUAAACAAUUCUUGGAAUUAUUAUUAUUAUUUAAAAAAAAAAGUUAAAAGAAAUAGUUUUUUUUUUCCUUUUUUUUCUGUUUUUUUUUUAAGAUUAUAUUUAUGCCAUUAUUUUAUUUUAUUCUGAACACGAUUUAACAAUUUUGGGAGAUCAAUCCUCUUGUUUCAGAUUUUAUGAAACCAGUUAUGCAUGAUGUUAUUUAUUUUCAAAAUACAAUUAUAUAAAUAAUUGGAAUGGAGACAAAAUAUUAUUUUUUACAUAUUUUAACUUUAUUUUUUUCCAUUAAAUUUUAUUUCGAGGGUGCAGGUAAAGAAGAUUAUCAAUCCACCAAACUGCUGAUAAUCAUUCAAUGUUAUGUUGGAAUCCAUUCAGCGUCUGGCUUUGUCAUUACAGAUGUGUCAUUGUAAGAUGGAGAAUUAAUUAAGCCUGGUUUGUAUAUUUGAUUAUUUUUAGAUAAAGUCUUGACAAAAAAAAGUGACAAACUUUGAAAAUAUUAUACUCAUGAUGAAAAAUAAAAUAAAAUUAUAGCUACACCCAUUUAAUCAAAUUAAGAUUUUUCAUGUUAAUUUGAAGUCAUGAAAAUUAUUAAAAUUUUUAGAUUAGAUGAGUAAAAGUAGGUUUUACAGCGAUUUUAUAAAGUGUUUUUAGGUUUUUUAAUAUUUGAGAGAUGAAAAUUUUUAAGUAUUAAAAAUUUAAAAAAUAUUUUCUAAAAUCGAUGUAAGUGCUUUAUCCAAAUAAAAAUUAAUUAGGUCUCAUUUUUCUAGUAUGAUGAACAUGACGAGAAUUCGGUGAGAACUGACGGAUAAAGACCAAGGGUUGCUGAAGCUCCACGGGCAAGUACUAGAGAUGAGAGUGAGGUGAUAAGUGGGGUAGGGUGAAUCAAUAACAGCUCCUCAGCUGCCCGUGACAGGACUAGGGCUGAGGAUGCUGACCUUGGUGGAGGAGAAAGUAAAUGCAUUUGUCAGGAGAGUUUGUGGACUCCUCUUAGUUUCACCUGUUCUUAAAAAUUCAUUUAAUGACCUACAACUCUCAUGCACACAUCUUCAUGCUCAUGUACAUGCAUGUGAGAUAUCUAUCCCAUAUGGAUCAUCUUAACUAAGCCUAUUUAGCAACUGUUUUCCACAAUAAAAUAUAUUUAAAAAUAUUAAUAAAAAAAUAAGUUAAAAACAUUUUAAAUUUCAGAUUUUUAAUUUAUAAAACAUCAAAAAAAGUAGUUUUAAAAAAUUGUUCAAAAAAGUUGUUUUCAAAACUGUUUUAAAAAACAAUUACUAUGUACAUUUUUUAUUUUUUAUUUUUAUUUUUAAAGUUAGAAAUAUAGUUGGAAUUUUCAUGUAAGAGACAAGUGCUCUUGGAGAUUUAUAUUAAAAAAUAACAAUUUUUAAAAUAAAUUAUAUAUAUAUAUAUAUAUAUAUAUAUAUAUAUAUUAAGAAUAGAUAUCAACAAAUCCAACAAAAUUGAAAAACAAUGCGGCAUAUAGUACUUCCACAAAUCAAGACUUUUAAAAUGUGGAAAAAGAAAUUUAAAAAAAAAAUACCACCACAAAUACCUCUUCAUAUACUGGUUUACCUUGAGACUCCUAAAUAUAAAUAAUAAUAAGAAAACCAGACCUGAAAAUACAAAACACAAAAAAAUCAGCAUUAACUUCAGGAUUUGACUUUCAUGUGGCUUGGAUAAGUUGGUUUGCAAAAAUGUAAUUCAACUUUUUUAAAGUUAUUACACCCGUUAAGUGAAGCCCAUAAGUGAUUGGUAGUGUGGUAUGUUGGUUUUGAAAAAUAUUAAUGAAAGAAAAAAUAUAUAUAAAAAAAUAUUUUUUUAUAUUUGUUUGUAUUAUAAAAAAUACAAAAAAAGUUAAAUAUAAUUAAAAUGGAUAAGAAAAUGGCCAAGGUGAAGUCAGUGCAUGCAAUUCCGAAGGUGGCAUGUGAAUGAGGUCCCAUGUAUCUGGCACUCGGGACAUCUCUGAACAAACUGGCAACAAUCCGUCUCCAUGGUCAACCAGAAGUAACCAGUCCUCAUGAUCUUACGGGCCAACAUAUGCCCUUCCAUAUGUGGUCCGCAAACUCCCGCAUGAACCUCUCUCAUGACUCGAUCGGCAGAGGCGCGGUCCAAACACAAUAGCAACAUCCCGUCAGCUGAUCGUCUAUAUAGUUCUCGUCACAAAUCACGAAUCGGACGGCUAACUGUCUCAGUGCUCUCCUAUCCUUGGCCGUGGCAACCUCAGGAUACACACCAAGUCUCAUAAAGUGAUAUAUGUCAUGGUACCAGGGCAAACCAUCGUCUAUCUCCGUAUCUUCAAUCAAACAACAAUACGCAGAAGCAGACCUCGAUUCGAUCAACAAUGGGUGAACAGUGACAUCAACAGGAAUGUCAAUCAUGGAAGCUAGAGUAGCUAAGGCAUCAGCAAACUGGUUCUACGCUCUAGGCAGAUGUGUGUAUCUCAAAUCAUCAAAUCUCUCGACCAGUAGCUCCAAAUACGCGUGGUAAGGCCUAAGCUUCACAUCCCUAGUCUUCCACUCGCCCUGAAUCUAUCUCAAUACCAUAUUGGAGUCACCAAACACCUCCAUCUGUCUAAUCCCGAGCUCUAGAGUCGUCUCUAAUCCCAGAAUACAAGCCUCAUACUCAACAAUGUUGUUCGUGGCAAGAUGUCGAUCCGAGAAUGCCAAACAAACAAAUCUAGGAAUGUGAUCACCAGGAGGGGAUAUCAACAAGACGCCUAUCCCGUAUCCAAAGUGGUUGACCGCACCAUCAAAUUACAUGCGCCAACCUAACAGACUAGUCAUAGUAGUGACAUCCUCGUCCGGGAAGUCAUCAUCAAUGGCUCUACCGUCGGAAACUGGUAAGAAUGCUAGGUGAUCUGCGACAAUGCUCCCUCUGAUGGACUUCUGAGUGACAUAAUGGAUGUCGAACUCAGUUAGAAGCACCAACCAUCUCAUGAGGCGACCAACCAGGGCGGGCCUGUCAAACAAAUAUCUCAGAGGGUCUAGACGGGAUAUCAAAUGCACUGAAUACUCGGUCAUGUAAUGUCUCAAUCGUCGAGUGGCCCAAACCAAUGCUAAGCAAUAGCGCUCAAUCAUAACAUAUCUCGUUUUGUAAUUUAGUAUCCUCUUACUCAGAUAAUAAAUGGCUCGAUCUUUGCUCGAAUCAUCGAGCUGAGCCAACAUGCAUCCCAAAGCCACAUCUGAGAUGGAUAGGUAUAGGAGUAAAGGACGGCCUGGUGUAGGAGGCGCCAAGACUGGGGAUGACAACAAGUACUCUCGAAUCCUUUCGAAUGCGCACUGACACUGAUCAUCCCAAACAGUAGGUUGACUCUUCCUCAAGAGUCGGAAAAUGGGCUCACAGAUGUCUGUCAAUCUGGCGAUGAAUCUACUAAUAUACUAAAGUCUACCCAAGAAGCCUCUAACCUCUCUCUCUGUCCUUAGUGCUGGCAUGUCAAGGAUGGCUCUGAUCUUGUCCGAAUCUGCCUCUAUGCCUCUCUCACUGACCAUAUACCCUAAGAGUUUCCCAGAAGUCACUCCGAAAGUGCACUUCUUGGGAUUCAGUCUCAAUCUGAACUGUCGGAUCCUCUCAAAGAACCUCUCCAGAGCUGCUAGGUGAUCUGGUCUCUCUCGGGAUUUCACUAUCAUGUCGUCUACAUAAAACUUGACAUCCCGAUGCAUCAUGUCAUGGAAGAGGGUGGUCGCUGCUCUCUAAUAGGUGGCUCCUGAUUUUUCAAUCUGAAUAGCAUGACCCUAUAGCAAUAAGUACCCCACUCGGUAAUGAAGAACGUCUUCUCCAUGUCCUCUGGAGCCAUCAAGACCUGACUGUAUCCGGAAAAUCCAUCCAUAAAGGACAACAUCAAAUGACCUAUCGUACUGUCAACUAGCAUGUCGAUGUGUGGAAGAGGAAAAUCAUCCUUAGGACUGGUCUUGUUAAGAUCUCGAAAAUCAACACAAACUCUCACCUUGCCGUCCUUUUUGGGAACAAGGAUGACAUUGGCCAGCCACUCUGAGUACUCGACCACUGAUAAGAAUCCUACAUUGAGCUGCUUCUGAAUCUCCUCUUUGACCUGCAAGCUCCAACGAGGAUGCAAUCGUCUCAACUUCUACUUAACCGGUCUGGCAUGGGGCAGAAGUGACAAACGAUGUUGGACGAUAGAUGGAUCAAGGCCUGGCAUGUCCUUAUAAGACCAUGCGAAAACAUCCAAGUAUGCUCCGAGCAAUUGGAUGAGGCUAUCUCUCUUAUCAACAGAUAAAUUUGAUCCAAUCCUCAACUCCCUAGGUUGAUCUACUGUGCCGAAAUCAACAAUCUCCGUGUCUCCUACAGUAGGUGAAACUCUCUCAUCAACGGGAUCCAAAUCGGAAACAGAAGGUGAGUCAUCGUCUGAAUCGUGCUGUGCAAUCUUAUCAUCAAUGUCAAAAAUCUAUGAUGUGGGUGAAGAUGGUGCAGAUAAAUCAAUAACAUGAGAGACAAGCAAAUACUCAAAGAUGCUCAAAUCCAUAGAUGAAAAGUCAGAAACAUAGUCAUUAUGGGAGACAAAUCCCGAUAAAACAUCAAAGGAAAGAGGUGGGUCCACAAAGUCGGAUGCUCUCUCAACUAGGCCAACAGGGCCAUCAAACAAACCAUCAACAACUAUAACAUCCUAGGUGACCUCCGGAGCGGGGGCAACCUGGAUUUCCUCUGCGAUCUCGAGGACGGACACCCCAAAGAGAUCAAAUGGUGAAGCGAGCUCAGGUGGGGCUAUCUCCUCGGUUUAGCUUAAGCUCAUCGCGAGCAUCUCAUCAACAUACUCGUCACGUGGCACGACUCCGUCCACUAUGUCUCCGAUCUCGGCAAAAGUCCCGUGCUCAUCGAUCUCAUCCGGGAAGCAAAACGUCAUAAGACUCGUGUGAUCUGGGGAGGGAGGAGCGAUCAACGCAGAAGUCGAAGGGCCAGGGGCUUCGUCACUCAACUGUAACUGCUGGACGAGGCAAUGAAGUUCAGCCUCUUGGACGGUACUAAGUCCUUCGAUGAUCCCAUCAGAUGCUGCAUGUGGCUCCGAUGCCCUUACAAAGUAAUCAGCUAGGCUCAUGGUGUAUGGGCGAACAGGAUAAUAAAAGGGCGUAUGAGUCAAGCGAGCCCUCACCCUCUCCCUGUGCAAUCUCGCCAUAACGAUAAUCGGCCUUGGUGGGGAUGAAUCCGAGCCCGAAUGGUACGUCGUGAUAAGGGAAAGCCAUGAACUCACUAGGCCCGUGUUGGCGCCACCUUAACCCCAUACCGGGAAGAUAAGGCAUGCUCCGCAUAAUAUCGAGCACCACCGUGCUGGUCGAAGGACAUGGCUACAAAGUCUCGACAGAAAUCCUCCAUCUCCAGGGUUUGCACCUCAUCAAAGGUGAAUCUGGUCAGAAAAAAAUCAUCAUCAACGUGACUAAUCUCAAGUACGGGCUCGAUCGAAAUGAACAUAUCCCCUACAGACUGCACCACGACGACCCGACCACCAUGAAUAAACUUCACCCUCUGAUGAAGGGAAGAAAGAAUGGCCCCAGCUCUAUGGAUCCAUGGUCGGCCCAAAAGCAGGUUAAAGGAUGUAGGAAUCCUCAAAACUUGAAACAUGGUGACAAAAGUGGCUGGACCAAUCAAUAGCUCAAUCUCUAGUGUACCCAUGACCUCCCUCCGAGUGCUAUCAUACGCGCGAAUGGUCUGAGUGGAGGGGCUGAAGUCAGAAGGAGUGUAUCAGAGGGCAAUGGUCGUGGCAAAAGGACAUACGUUCAGGGUUGAGCCAUUAUCCAGAAGGACAGAUGGGACUCGGCGGCCUAAACAGCCAACGGAUAUGUAUAGAGGACGUGUGUGGUCCGAGCCCUCUGGUGGCAAAUCAUCGUCCGAGAAUACGAUGCAUGUGGCUCUACCGGCCAUCAUUAUUUGAAUCAAUCCCUUAGGGGAGGUGGUAGUCUCAACCCGGAUCUGCCUCAAAGCUCGAAUCACACAGUGCCCCAACUCAAACCCAAGUCCAAAGUCUCCAUGGGCAAGCCCAAGGCUCCAUCUUCAGCACCAACUUGGGCCGGGUGCCUCAACUUAAGCCCAAAACUUCAUCUCCUCCAUUGCUUGCCUCUCUGCCUGGAAAUCACCCUCAGAGGGAGCUCCUACCGCCGGUGGCACCAUGGACCACAACUUGUCGAUGUUGACGAUGGGGCAGUAGAGCUUGAUGCGGAGCUUGUGGAAGUGCCUCAUUCCAACCUUCCCGAAGUAGCCAAGGUGGUACUUGUCGAAAAAAGAUGCGGUGGUGAUGCAUACCUCCAGUAUUUCCGCGGCCACCAGGGUGCUUCUGGUGCUUGCCGAUCCGGCCAUGGCCGGCGCUGAUGUGUCCUCUCUUCUUCCUAUUCUUCUUGAACUUGGUUGUCAUCCUUGUACCUUGUACCGCCUAAGGCUUUUGAAUCUCUGGGGUGGUUUGCGGAGAGAAGAGAUAAUGUGAUAGGGAAGAUGAUGGGUGAGUCGGGUAUAAGGAGGUACAAGCAUGAUAGGCACGAGGGGUGCAUGUGAGGGUGUUUGGGUUUGAUGGAGAGGCACGGGUGAUGAAAGAAAACACGGGUUUAGUGGGUAUGGUGGGCUUGAUGAUAGAGAGAGAAAAGAUGAUGGGGAAAGGAAAUGAGGAAACCGGGUAUGAAGACGAGUGGAAUGGAAAAGGAGGCUUGACAGGUUGUAUUAGGAACAAAAGUUGUCGUGUCAUCCCCAAUGGAGCAGGAGGAAUAGAGACUGCUGGGUGUUGAGAGUACCAAGGCUGGGGGCGAGUAGGAGUGGACCAACCAGCAGGAGGCACGACUAAUGCACCACCACCAAGUUGUGAACUCGGGACCUCCACUUUAGCCAAUUUUGAUGGGACGUCUUCACCUUCCUCUCCAUAAUGAGCUGCUAAGAUUUCAUGUGGGAGAGCAUAUUCUCUAUUUUGGAGGUGACAGUCACGAACCCAGUAGAAUAAUUCAACAACUCUUUGGGCAAUGAAAAUGCGGCAAAUCAGGUUCCAAAACUAUGCCCAUGCGAAGACCAAAGGCGAUGUUGGCCAUGACCCUUUCUCCUUGGUGGUACGAAUAGCUUCCGAGAACAGAGAGUGAAUAGCAAGGAAGCAAGCACCAAAAAAAAAAAAAAAAAAAAACAGAGCAUCCAAAUGAACUUAAUAUAACACUUACAUGAGCCUUCUUUUAUAUUAAAGUUAAUAGGUUCCUGUAUAGGUAGGAAAGCCAGGUGGAAACAAGAUCCAAGGAUAUGAUUCAAACACAAAGGAGAGCUAAAAAAAAGGAAUUAAAUCACUCUCAGACAAAAUUUCACAUGGAGAACAAGGAACGAAUACAUUAUCACAUAGUUAUAGUGACCCAAAAAGAUGUGUAUAGCAAACAAAAUGUGGUUUAGAAAACGUACCUAAGGAUGCCCCCUCUCUUUUCCCCUGUUUUUUUUUUAGUUUCUCUGGAUCCCCCAUUUUCCUCUCUACCAGCCAGUUUCUAUCUUCUUGGGCAACCCAUUACCUGCUUCCCUGUUCAUCACAUCAGCAGCAUGGCCUCCUCAACUACCAACCUGACCAUCCAUGCCACAGCGGGUCUCUCCUUGCUGAUCCUCCAGAAAGGGGGUCCUCCCCCUUCUAAAAAAAAAACUUUCCUUGCCUCUUGUCGUCCUAAGGUGCCCUUUUGUUUUAAGUUAUGAAAACAAAUAUCAAUUGAAUAGUCCCAGCAAGCCAUUCUCUCAUGGCUUGAAAAGAGGGGUCUACAGAUAUAUAAUUUUUUUUAUAUAAUUUUUAGUUAUGAAAUUAAUAUUUAUAGCAAGAAAAUCAUAUUUAAAGACAAUAUUUAUGGAUGGAAAAUAGGUUUUUAAAAUUUUUUGCAAUAAAAUUUUAAUUUACACCAAUAAAUCCCAUUUAUCCACAAAAUCAAUUUGCAAUGAAUAGUUCUGUAUUUAUAAAUUAUUUGAUAGAAUUUUGAAAGAGAUGAAAUUAUCAAAUUGACGAUAAAAAUAUUGUUUUAUAGGUGAAAUUGAUUAAACAUGAGAAUGAUGAUGGCUUAUAUAAAACAUUUAUUAAUUGUUUAAAAUAAUUUAAAACUCAAAAAUCGAUAUAAUUAGUACUACAAAGUCGUGAAACUUAAUAAUAUUAGAAAGUUAUAGACCAAAAUUUAUUUUAUGACAUAUUUAGCUUCUUCUUUACAUAUAUCAUAUUUUUACUAAUUUUUUCAUUAGAUAAAUAAAUUUCAAAUCAAGCAAGACCUAUUGAGUUGGAUUCAUGAAUGACUCUAAUAAUUUUUAAAAAUAACUUAAAACUCAAAUAAUGAUCCAAUUAAUAUUAGAAAUUGAUGGAUAAAAAUUGGUUUAAAAUGACUAUUAUUAUUAUUAUUAUUUUACACAGAAUCUGAGAACCCCUUAAAAAGACCAAUGUUUUUUUUUUAUUAUUAUUCAUGGGAUUUAGCUGGAACCACCCGAGAGAUGGAGAGCUUUCUUGGUAGGAUGGGGGGGACCCCUUUUUGAAGGAAGGCAGCUUCAUAGACACAGCCGAAGGUGAUGGCCGGCCAUGCUUGCUGAUGGGGUAAACAGCAGGGCAAGUAGUGGCUUGCCAAGAAAUGAAAGAAAAACGGGGAUUUAGAGGAAAAAGGAAGAGGUUUUUAAAAAAAAGAGGGGAUUUUUUUCAGCUGGCUGGAGGAGACCUUGAAAGCUAUUGGAGGAAAAACACAGGUAUCAUUUCUACAAGCUGUGGAUUCUUUUGUGUUCAGGGUACUUUAUGAUGUCUUAUGGGUAUUAUGAGAUGCUAUUUUUGAUGCUUGAAUGUGCUUUUUUUUUUUUUUUUUGGGAUUCUCACAUAUUUUUAUGGAAUCUAAGCUUGCUUAUACUCACUCGAAGCUUGAUUUCCAACCUGUUCAUGGUCUCUGUUUUGAUGUUUUAUAUGAGAUGUUGGCAUUCACGUAUUGAUUUCUCUUUGGGAACUUAAAAUGGAACAAUAGAUGACAUUGAUGUUUCAGCCAAUGUAGUUGUUAUAAAUUUCUCCAUGCAUGCCACCACAUUUCCUCUCUCUACGUUCCCCAUUAUCCAUUACCCACUUCUCUUUCCAGCUCUCCACUCUUCCCCCCUCACCCCCAUACCCGCGUCAUGCCUAUUCCCAUUAGGACCCCGAAGUCACUCACCUACAUGCUUAGGAAUCGUGCAUGCGUGGAGCCAUGGACGGCGGCAGCAGGCUGCCACCAGCUUGUUGUGGAUGGUGGAGGCCGCACGCGGCGCUGCGUGAUGGUGUGCAGCUCCAGAAGGUGUCGCGGAGUGAAAGAAAUGGUGUGAACGGAGUUGUGGCAGCAAGGGAGCAGUCGGCUGUAGCAGGCCGUGAGGGUGUUCGCAUAAAAAAAAAAAAAGUGGAACGAACGGGAAAGAGAGUGGGAGGUGGCUGCCAAGAAGUUGGCUGGUGAAGAUGAUGAUGCCCAGGUGAAAAUGGUUUUGGGCUUAAGUUUGGGAGCCCAGCCCAAGCUUGUUGAUGGGGGUAGCAUAUUCUCAAGUAAUUGGGCUUGCCCUUGGUGGAAAUGGCUUUGGGCUUAAGUUGAAGCACCCGACCCAAGUUGAUGCUGAGGAUGGAUGCCUUGGGCUUGCCCAUGGCAAGGACUUUGGGCUUAAGUUUGAGAGCCCAGCCCAAGCUUGUUGAUGGGGGGCCUCAUGGCUCCUCAAGCUAGCCACCCUCAUGGCCCAAGCCUAUGUUGAGCUAGCCCAUUUGGUUGCCUCAACUCAAAAAAAAAUCUCUAUACCUCUAAUCUUUCAAAGAAAUCACAUAUCUUAAUUUAAUUUUUCAAUAACUAUUUCAAAUAUCAUUUUCAUCCAUUAGAAUUAUUUAUCCCAUAUUAUCUAGCUAUUUAAAGUCUAAAUCUUUCAAAGGAAUCAUAUGCCUUAAUUUAAUUCUUCAAUAAUUAGUUCAAAUCUCAUUUUCAUCCGUUAAAAUUAUUUAUCUAAUAUACUCAUCUAGUUAUUUAAAGUCUAACCCUUUCAAAAAUCCCAUGUCUUAUUUUAAUUUCUCCAUAAUUCGUUUAAAUCUUAUUUACGUCAAUUAGAAUUAUUAUCACAUGUUUAUCUAGUUAUUUAAAGCAUAAUCCUUCAAAAAUCGUAUGUCUUAGUCUAAUCUUUCAAUAAUCCGUUCAAAUCUCAUUUUCAUCAAUUAUAAUUAUUAUCCUAUAUUAAUCUAUCUAUCUAGUCUAAUCUUUAAAAAACCCCCUGUCUUAAUUUAAUAUUUUAGUAAUUUGUUUAAAUUUUAUUUUCAUCAAUUAGAAUUAUUAUCCCAUAUUCAUCUAUUUAUUUAAAAUCUAAUUCUAAAAAAAUCCCAUGUCUUAAUUUAAUUAUUCAAAUAUUCGUUUAAAUCUUAUGUUCAUCAAUUAGAAUUAUUAUCCUAUAUUCAUCUAUCUAUCUAGUCUAAUCCUUCAAAAAUCCCAUGUUUUAAUUUAAUUCUUUAAAUAUUUGUUUAAAUCUUAUUUUCAUAAAUUGAAUCAUUAUCCCCAUGUUUAUUUAGUUAUUCAAAAGUCUAAACCUUAAAAAAUCCCAUGUUUUAAUUUAAUUCUUUAAAUAUUUGUUUAAAUUUUAUUUUCAUCAAUUAGAAUUAUUAUCCCAUAUUUAUUUAGUUAUUUAAAGUCUAAUCCUUCAAAAAUCCCCUGUCUUAAUUUAAUAUUUCAAAAAUUUGUUUAAAUCUUAUUUUCAUCAAUUAGAAUUAUUAUCCCAUAUUCAUCUAUUUAUUUAAAAUCUAAUUCUUCAAAAAUCUCAUGUCUUAAUUGAAUUUUUCAAUCCUAGAAAUUCUACAAUUCGUUUAAAUUUUAUCCUCAUCAAUUAGAAUCAUUAUCCCAUAUCUAUUUAAAGUCCAAUCUUUCGAAAACCCCAUGUCCUAAUUUAAUUUUCAAUCCCAGAAAUUCCAUUAUUCACCUAAAUGUUAUUCUCAGUAAUUAGAAUUCUUAUCCCUUAUCUAUUUAUUUAUUUAAGGUCCAACUCUUCAAAAAUUCAACGUCCUAAUUUAAUUUUUAAUCUUAAAAAUCCCACUACUCACUUUCUAUUCGUUUAAAAUAUUGUUUCCGUUAAGUAGCAUUAUUAUUCCAUACUAUCUAUUUAAUUUAAUCGUUAAAGUUUAAUUCAUCAGAACCCGACUUCCAAAUCUAAUUUCCAACCUCAAAAGCUCCACCGUCCAAAUAUCGCCGUUCAAUGAUUAUUCUUGUUAUUAAUGUUAUCCCAUCUACUUACUUAUUCCGUUAUUCAUAUACCAAAGAUCUCAUCUCUAAAUAAAUUCUUAAGUUCUCAAACUCUAAGUUCACAUCUUCAAAUCUCUAAAAUUCCAUCUUUCGCAGUUAUUUACCUAAUCUUUAUUAUUUCACCAUCGUUAUUAUUCCAUUCCUUUACUUAUUCACUCAUCCACUUAUCCCCUCAUUUAAAAUCCCGAACUCUCAAAUCAUUUUCAAGUUUCCAAUCUCGUUCAAAUUUAAUUUCUAAAAAUUCUCAUUCUCGCAUUUAAUUUCUGAAAGUCCGAUCUUCAAAUAAACUGUAAAAUUCCAAAUUUUAAGUAACCUUUGAGACUCCAAUUUUUCAAAUGAAUUUCAAAAAUCCGAUUUCCUCUCCAAUUGUUUUUAAUUCCAUUUUUCGAACAAUCCUCUGUUUCUCUUGAUUUCAAUGAGCAUGAAUGAAUUUUUCAUAAUUCCGGAAUAAUAGAAUCUAUGAUAUUAAUUCAUGCAAAAUAAACGGGCUGUGGUGGGGGCCUUACAUGGGUGACUUUAUGAUUGAUUGAUUGAUUGUUUGCUUUGAUUAUCAUACAUGAUUGAUUUACCCUACUCUUUGACAUGCAUGCGAUUAUUCCUAAAUGGUGCAUUGACCCUCUCUAUUGAUAGCGCAUGGUGGCUCGUUGCCCAGGUAUGUACCCAUUUUCCCUCUAAUCGUUGUUUAUGCAUGUCUCGAUUCUUAUGUGUGCAUGAUCAUUAAGGAUAUUCAUUGAUUUAUUCAUCAAUUUCCAUGUCAGCUUCAUUUUAUUAGUAGAGACCCGACUUUAAGGACUUAGAGGGGUGUUAUGGUCUUUACCGUACCUUCCCGAUAAGUAACCUGACCCCCGAGCCCGAUCCAGUUUUUCGUAGAUCACCUUUCCCAAAAUAAGGAGUCGCACUUAGGGUUUUCUUUCUUAUUUUUUUUACCCUUUUAAAAAUAAAACAAAAAUAAGUUGCGACACCAAGUCAUUUUCUUAAUCAAUAAAAAUCAUUUUUCAAAUUAAAAUCGAGCUCACCAUCAAGUGGAAAACGCAUGAGCCGAAAUGCAGGGUCCAUAGAAUCAUUAUUUUUUGAUUUUAUUUUAUUAGACAAAUAAACUACAAAUUAAACAAGACUUAUUACAUUAGACUCAUCAAUGAGUCUAGUAGUUUUUAAAAAUAACUUAAAACUCACAUAGUGAUCCAAUCAAUAUCAGAAAUUGAUGUACAAAAAUUGGUGUAGAACGACUCUUAUUUCUCUUCUACAUAGAAUUAUUAUUUUUCGAUUUUUUUUGUUUGCUAGGCAAAUAAACUCUAAUUUAAACAAAACUUAUUGCAUUGGAUUCAUCAACGAGUCUAUUUUUUUUUUUUAAAUAAUUUAAAACUCAAAUAAUAAACCCAUUAAUAUAAAAGUUUAUGGAUAAAAAUUGGUUUACAAUUACUAUUAUUUCUUUUCUACAAAUAAUUAUAUUUUUAUAAUUUCUCUUAAUAGAAAAAUGAACUUCAAAUCAAGUGAUGCUUUAUAUUAAAUUUAUUAUUGGGUUUAACAAUUUUUAAAAAUAAUUUGGAACUCAACAAAUAGAUCUAAUCACUUAAAAAAACUAAUAAAUUAAAAUUGAUAUAUUAUGAGUCUUGACUUUACUAUUUCUCUAUACACACAACUCUCUCUCUCUCUCUCUCUCUCUCUCUCUCUCUAUAUAUAUAUAUAUAUAUAUAUAUAUAUAUAUAUAUUAAUUUUCUCACUAUGCAAAUAAAUUAUAAAUUAAGUAAGACAUAAUUAAUAAUUUAAAUUCUUUAAUGAAUUUUUAUUUUUAAAUAAUUUGGUUAUCUAAUUUUUAAGAAUAAUUUGGAAUUCAAAAAGUCAAUCUAGUUAAUUUCAAAUUAAAUCAAAAUAUUUUAGAAUAUUAUGUUCAUAAUUGAAUACUAAAUAUGUGCAUCUAAUAAAAAAACUUGGCUCAUUUAUAUGUUAAAAAAUUAAACUUUAUUUGUUAUUCAUUUUAAAUGAAAUAUUAUUAAUAAUUAUUAUUUUAAAAUUAUUGUUAUUCGCUUUUAACAAAAAAUUUACGAAGUUGUUAAUAUCCUUAUGUUUUUAAACAUAUACUAUAAUAUUACUAUUCAUGUUUUACUAAAAACUAUAUAUUUGUUAAUUUAUUUAUAAUUACAAAACUAUUUUCAGUUUUAAUAAGAUCUAGAAUAAAAUUUCACUAAUUUUAUAUAAAUUAAAUUUACAAUAUUUUUACCAUAUUAAAAUAGAAAAAAUAUUUUUAAAAACAACUUAUCCAAAUAAAGUUUUUGUUAUUUAUUUUUAAGAAUUGUUUUUAAAAACAACUUGCUAAAUAUCCUUAUUUUUAUAAAAUACUAAAAAACUGUUUUUGGUUCUUCAACUUAGAAACAAGUCUUUGAAAAUAUCCCUAAAUAUGCAUAUCCAGAACUUACAUGAGGCCUUUUCAUCAAGGAUAUCAAGGCCAUUUUGCUUUAUAUAUACUUGUUUUUCUAUUAGGUUGCCAAGAAAAAUUUUGGAAGUGUACUAGUCUUUUCUUUUUUCCUUUUUCUUUUUACAUAUUUAUGGAAGUGGUUUUGUGUAACACCCCUACCUAGAAUCAAGGAUAUUUAUGUAAUACGCCAAUUAAAUAAAAAAUUAAGAGAAGAUAAGUAAGAUAUUUUUGGUUCCUAUAACUAGUUACUAUCUUUAUCUUGUUAUGAUUUUCUCCCUUCCAAUUCUUCAUCCUUGUUAUUAGGAAUGAUAUAAAAAAAUAUAAAGAGAAUAGAGUUUUUAUGAUUAAUCUUUCAAGGAAAGCAUCUAACCUAUAAAGUUAAUAUUUCGGUCCCAUUUUCGUGGUUGUGUAAAAUAAAUAACCUUGAAUCUUUUAGGUAUUCUCUUGAAAGAUUUGAAUUUAGGAUUAGUUUAUUUAAGAAAAAAAUGAAUAUAGAUAGGUUGAUUUAUCCAUGAAGAUAGGAAAAUUGUAUAGAUCCAAAUCAAUUUAAAAAAUAAAAUAAAAAUCUUUUGCAACAUUAGAAGAAAAAAGUACAAACUUAGAUGGCCUAUUGGUUUAUUGUUACAUGUUUGAAAAAAAGAAAAAUAAAAAGAAAAAUGAGAUAUUUUUAUGGGUUACAACUUUUAUGUUGUAAGUGUUAGGAUAAAGCCCUUGAAAACAUGACAUGAUAUAAUAAAUUUGGAAUUUAUUAUUUAUUUAAUUAUAUUUUAGUUUUACUUUUAUAUUUCCUUGUUUUAAUGCAUUCUAUUUUAUGAGUAUUUUAACCUGUAUUUAUUACAUUUUACAUGACUUGAGUGCAUUAGGAGUUUCAUGGAAGAUCUAAUUCAUAGGUUUUUUACAAGCAAAUGAUUUGUUUACAACCAAAUUGAUUCCACGUGAUGAAAAUGAAGACUGAAGUCGCAAGAAGUAUAAUAAACUCAGAGUCUUUCACUUGAUCACUCGAACCUUGAUCUUGACACACUUCCGAUGGGGAUGGAAGAGAGGGUGGAGACUAUGACUUUCUCUCUCUCUCUCUCUCUCUCUCUCUCUCUCUAGGUGGAUGAAAACUCUCUAGAAAAAACUAUGGAAACCCUAACCUCUAAGGGGGUAUUUACAGGGUUUCCCAUUGGGCUUUAAUAACUUGAACCCACUAAGGCUUAAGUCACUUAACAUAGCUUAAAAUGGGUCAUAAUUGAUUAAUUAACCCAAUAGACUCUACAAAUUAAUCAAUUAGCCCAAUCUAGAGACCUUGUUCACUUACCCUUGUACAACCUUGCAUAAUUACCAAAAUGCCCUUAUGCACAAAAGUGAACUUAAGUCAAUCCAACCCUCAUAACCCAUGCUAACAAAAUAUAUAAGCUCAAAACAGGAACCACUAGGACCUAUAGGAGUAGUAGCUCCCUUAAAAUCCAAUUCUAAAGUUGAUUCAACAACCUACUACAAAGUAUUAAUUGAACUCCAAUAUCCCAUGUAAAUAACAAUGAGACAUUAUGUGCUCGAGUUCGUGAGUUGCUAUCCAUUGUGUCCAAUCUUUCCAUUAAUUGAUAUUCGUAGUCUAAUAAGGUGAAAACUAUCAACCUUUCAAGAUUACCUCUACUAUCUUUUAGUUAUAAACCCUCCUAUUGUGUAUUUAACUAACAUAUCAUACCUUUCCAAGAGCAUGAUGUCAAGUUCCACUUAAGAACUACUAUGACCAUGGUUUACAUGAAUGCACUUUUUUAGGAUCAACCUAUUGGGAUUGAGCCCUUAAAAGUAAGACAUGAUGUAACAAAGUUAGACUUAACUAUCAUUUUUCUAUCCUUUUGGUGUAUUGACAUUGAUUCGAGCAUUCAACCCAUGUCUUUUACAUUGUUCAUGACUUAAGUGCAUUAGGAGUUGCACAGAAGAUACAAGUCAUGGGUUCCUUGUAAGUAGAUAAGUUGUCCACAAUUGGUUCAUAGAUUUAGGCAAUCCAUUAGAGACUGUAGUGCACCAUCUCCUAAUUGGAGGGAUGACUUGUCUUGGUCAUCAUGAUGGGUUUCCCACAGUGAAUGUACUAGUAUAUGUGAUGCACACUAGAUAGGACCUAUAGUGAAUCAUGACGCAAGACUAUCAAUUUUCAUGAUUCACUAAACUACUAUACUGCAUGGACUCUCAUCAUUGAGAGGAUAUUGAGCCUAUGCCAAAAUCAAUAGGAGGCUUUGACCUAUGGGUGAGACCCUAAAGUGGUCAUAUAUCCCUAUGGAUUGGGUCACUAUUAAUGGAGGCGGAUGGCCAUAGGUAUUCUUAAUAAAGGCACCAUAAUAUCUCAUGAGAUUGAGACAAUGUAUCAUCUUGGCUAAUCCAAAGGACAUGUGAUCAUGAAAUAUGUGGCCACAGUAAUUCCUUUAGUGGAAUUUGACUUAUGCUCAUUGGAGUUAGAGUAUGUCAUUUGAUCACAUAAUAAGUGAGAUCUAUAAAUCAAGGAUUUGAGAGUUAAUCUUGAUAAGUGAUAGCACUACCUUGUUAGAUUACGAACACCAGUUCAUAGGGAGUCUAUAUAUAGUGGAUAGUAGGUCACAAACUUGAGCACUUAGUGUCUCGUUGUAAUAUACAUAAGAUAUUGGAAUGUAGUUAACUCUCUGUAGUGGGAUGUUGAUUCAAUUUUAGAAUUUGAUUAUGAGAGAGCUAGUACUCUUAUGGGUCCUAAUGGUCCCUGUUUUGAGUUCAUAUUCUUUGUUGGCAUGGUUUAUAAGGGUUGGAUGGGUUUUUAGUUCACUUUUGUGCAUAAGGGUGUUUUGGUAAUUAUGCAAGGUUGCACAGGGAUAAGUGAGUUGUAUCUCUGGACUGGGUUAAUUGAUUAAUUAGGCCUUAUAUGGUUAAUUAACCAAUUAAAAAUCUUUUUAGGCUAGAUUAAGUGACCCAAGCCCAUGGUGGACUUAAGUCACUUAAGCCUAGUAAGAAGUCUAUAAAUUCCCCUUUAAGGGUUAGGGUUUCUAAGUCUUGCUAUUCUCCCCUUCAAUAUAAAGUGAACCUCUACCCUUGAGAUCUCCACCAUCUUAGUGCCUAGACACCAAAAAAAGUUAUCUGGCAGAAGAUCAUGGUGUUUACGAGAUCCAUUACAACUUUAGAGUUAUCUUCACCGUAAGAAAUUGAUAUGGGAACAUUCAGAUCUAGGUAUGAACAUUUUUUUUUUUAGUUCUAUGUUUUUUAUGAUAUCAAUAUUGGUUUUUGAAUAACUAUUUAUUCGUUGCGAUAGAUUUAGAGAGCCUAGGAUAGAUUUUCAUGCACACAUAAGCCAAGGGAACCACCCAUAAGCCAAAAGGCUUCCUUUGUUGCUAUGAAAAUAACAAAAGACCACUUAGAGUGUACACAUACCCAGAGGUAGACUUGCGAGAGUCUUUAUCAGAUUAAAGUCCGAUUUCUCGGUACAAAAGGAGUACCAACUCAUCGUAAAGACUCAAAAACAUAUAAUCCUUCGUUCUCCAAAGAUACUAGAGUGUAUGUUUGACAUCCACCCAAAGCUCUAAUUAGGAAAUUGACUAAUAUUCACUCAUUAUUCCUACAAUAAAGAAAAUAUUUAGUUUAGCACAUAGCAUCACAUACUUAAGGUUAUCCAUUACAAAGGCAUUGGAUACCACCUUAAUGCGAUCUUUCUCCUUAGAUGUCCAAUGACAUUAUUCCUAAGAAAGACAACUCCAAAUCCAAAGAGUAACAAACUCUUCUUGGAGUUUUGCAUCAUAUGCUUGACCAAAUGUUUAUCUAUGUAGGUGACAUGAUGCAAUUUUCCUAUUCUUGUAUAAAAGACUUUAACCCCAAGGAUAUAUUGUGUCUUCUUCUAGAUUUUCAUCUAGAAUUGAGUAGACUACCAGAUCUUGACUGAUGACAAUAUCCUUACUUCAUAUCCAAUGAGUAGAUUAUCAUCUAUCUAGAAGAUCUUAGAGCAUCGCAAUGCUUCCUUAUGCCUUAUUGUACACACAAGGCCCUUUGCUAUGAAAAUGUUUGGUUGUUGUAUCUUACAAAUGUGACACACUGCAAUAGAUAGGAGUAAUUUGAUGGAUUUAAGUAUGACUAUUGUUGAAAAGGUUUUCCGAAGUCGAAACAAAGUUUCAAACUAUAACCUUUAGCUACAAUCUUAGCCACAUAAAACUCAAGCUUUCCAUAUUCUCUUGUGUUCCUCUUGUAGACCAACUUACACCUACGGGUUUUAUCCCUUUAGGUGUUUCUGUAAGAACCCAAACUAUGUUAGAAUACAAAGAUUCUAACUACCUCUUCAUAGCUCCUUGCCUUAAGUGAGCACAAACACUACUCAUUGCUUCAUCAUAAUCUAUGGGAUAUGAACCUCCCAUUAUGAUAAGGCACUAGUGUACUAGAAAUCAUAGGAUUGGUAUGUCUUUAACCCUCUGGAUCCAUAGUAUCCUAUGCAAUGUGGGACUAUCUUCUAAUAUAUCCUCCAAUUUGUAUCACUCUUUGCCUCAAUCCUUAUCAUGUAAUCUUCACAAACAAUCUGACAUUUAUGUUAACAAAUAUCUUAUGAUGAUCCUAAUUAUAAAGGUAAUAACCCAAAAAUCCUCUUAGAUAUCCUAUAAACUAAUAUACAUUUUAAAAAAAAAGAGAUAUUACACUGUCUAUAAGACAUAUCCUCAAAAGAAUCCAAGAAAAGAUGAGAAACCUGUCCAUGAUCUUACUAUGUUUAACCAAGUUUGAUAUCUUCUUUCCACCUCUCCAUUUUGCAAUGGAGACCCUAGUGCACAUGACUAGGAAAUAAUCUUGUGCUCCAAUGAAAAAAAUCAAACUUAUUCGAUAUAUCACCUUGAUCUAAUCGAAGUGACUAGUAAUGUAUACCUAAUAGGUUAUCUGAUCCCGCCUUAAAUUCAAUGAAUGUAUCCAAGGCAUCGGAUCUCCAAUGUAUACAUUCAAACCUAGAGUAAUCAUCACUAAAAGUGAUCAAAUACCCAUACCCUCCCCAUGCAUGGACACUAAAAGUUCCAUACAUAUCAGUAUGCACUAACUUCAAACAUUUGUUGGCUCUAGUCUUCUUGGUCAUUUUACCAUCUAUAUAGGAUUUAUAGACUGAAAGAUCUUUUGGAAUCAAAGAGUCCAAACUUUACCAAUCUUUGGAUCCUAUUUAGAUUAAUAUGACCUAGGUCUAGAAACCAAAUGUUUAGUUAGUGCUGGGUUUAAUCCUAACAUCUAACUAUUCUUAUCACUUGGCAAAGUAAUAAUGGAAUACAUAUAAAGAAAGAGGAUAUUACCUCCCACUAAAUUGCAUAACUAACCUUGCAUUUGAAGCUAAGGUAAGUAUAAUCCUAUCAUUUAACCUUCUCACUUGUUGAAUAUCCUAUAAGGACUUAUAGAUAAUGGGCUUGGAAUCUAUCCACCAUAAAUGGUGAAAUCCAUCACUAAAUAUUCAACAAUGAGAAAAUAAUAUAUACUUUCCUUUUUUCCUUUAGGUAAACUAUAAAUUCCUUUUCUAGUGUCCUAAAAGGUCACAAAGGAGGCAUUUUCCCUUGUGCUUGCUCUCUUAUUCCUUCUCUUGAACCUUCCUUAUUUGAUAUUGUCCUUCUUCUUCUUGAGAGAAGAACCUAAAGAACCUUUGAUUUCCAUAUGAACGCCCUAUAAUAUUUGAGAAUCCCCUUAACCACCCCAAAGGAAAAUGGCAAGGUCUUUAAGAUCAUAUGUAUACCUGGUGUUCAUAAUGGUUCUAAGAGUAGCUUGUCAGAGCAGACUUACCCUUAUCACCAAAUAACCAUUGCAAACUAGAAAGAGAAUAUCAAAGUCUCUAGUAAUAGACAUAUGUUGCUAUUGUAACACAUUAUCCAAAGAUCCAAGUAUUAGACACUUGGUCUUUUGAUCAGUUUAAUACCACCUUGAUAUACCACUAUUUCCUUUUGCUAGGUUAGUUAAAAAGGAAUAGCUAGCUUUACCUAAACUAGCUCCUAUGUAAUUUGUUACUAUAUCCAGAAUAAAAUUAGUCCAAUUGAUUAGUUAGGCUUGCCCUAUUGUGAGAAGAAGAGUGAUAAUAGAACCAACAUGAUAUCUGUAACAAAGAAUAUAACUAAGCAUAUGACAUAAUUGAGCAUUCAUGGCAAUUGGUAAUUAAUUUAGCAAAAAUGUAGUGGUCUAAAACUACAUGUCCUUUUGCAAGGUAUCUAGUAUUAUAAGAAUCAAGCCUACAUGAGGCAGGUCACCUUAUAACUAGUUAGAGACCCUCUUAGAUUGAUCUCUUAACCUUAACCAUAAAGGUAUCUAAAAGCAAAAUCAACAUACCUUUUAUUUGGCACAUGGACUAUUCAAGUGGGAUUGCGUGGGGGCAAUUCUACCACUUCAUAUCCAUUGUCAAGUGUAUAACCAUUAUCCUUGAACUAUCAAUGUCAUCAAGUAAAGAAUCCCAUCAUGGGGGUGGUCCCUCCUACUAUAAACAUAUUUAAUCUCGUCCAUGUGGAGAGCCAUAUCUCUUGAUUCUUAGAGAUAACCCAUUGUGGGGGUGGUGAUGAACCCAAAUCAAGAUGGGCUCAAUAAUGGAGGCCGUGGGCUUGCCUAAGGCCCUCUCCCACUUAGUCUUUUGAGAUAAAUAAGAGCAUUUUAAAACCAAUAGUAAUUUCCCUAAUGCAUAAAUUAUCUAUUUUGAAAAUUUCCAAAAACAUAUGUUUCAUAAUUGGAAACCUAGUGUAAGAGGAGAAUACCAACAUGAAAAAUUUAAAAUUUCCAUGAGAGUAAGUUUCAAAAAUAAUUUUGAUAAAAUAUCCACUCUAAAAAAUUUUAAAACUAUUUUCAUACCAUUCUCCUUGUAUACACAAUUCCAGUAAGGAAAUUACCAAUUUAUGAGACUUUGAAUAAUCUUGAGAGCACCUUAUCCAAGAAAGGAACUUUUGCUUCUAAUAAAAAAUCCUCGUAAGAUUUACUUUCCUUAUUCCUUGCACUUUCCAACUUAAUAAAUAUUUCCAUGGAAAUUCCAUAAUAAUUUAUUCCAUUAAAUACUACAAAAAAUAGAACCUUUUAGUAAUUCUGUAAUAUAUAAAAUAUUUUCUAUGAAAAUCUUCCAAAAAUUUUUAUUUCCAAAAAGGAAUUAAACAAUCCAUUUUGGAAAGUAUUUUCAAAAUAUUUUAUAUCUCCAUUAAAUUACUAACACUUUCCAAAGUUAUUUUGGUAAACCUUCGUAUAAUAAAUUAUCUAUCAUGAGAUUUUCCAAAUCUAUUAUUUACUUUUAAACCGAAACUCCUAUGCUAAAAGAAUUGCUAUCUUAUUCCUUAUUAUUGAAUUAUCCAAACAAAAUGGUUUCCUCAUUCUCUCUAGGGGAGAGAGCUUGGAGAAACAACUAUAAGCAUAGUUUUCCUUAUCUUAUCAAGAAAAAACAAGAAAACAUCCUAAAGUUUUUUUAAAAAUAGAUAGUUUUAAAUAAAUAACAAUCUUAUUAGCAACAACGAGUUUAAAUAAAUAAUAUUGGAAAAUAUCUUCUCAUAAAAAUUUACUAAGAAUACCAAAAAACUUUUCUUUGGGUUCUAAUACUUAUUUUGGUAACUAUUUUAAUUAUAAAUUAUCUACCAUUAAUUUCCAAAAUUAACUUAUUUUCUUUAAAUUGGAAAUCCUAUGCAAAAUAGGAAAAACACUAUUUUAUAUAGAUUUGGAAAAAUAAGAGCUUUUCCUUAAAAGAAAGAUUUUAUUCUUAGAGAUCUCAAAUAUUUGAAAAUAUUUUAAAUAUAAUUAAAAUCUCUAAGAAUUUAUUUUAAAAAGGUAAGAAAGCUCUUAAUCCUUUUUCCAACUUAUCUUUUCUUUGAAAUAAAUUUUCCUAACCAUGCACAUUCCAAUUUAAAUAAAUUUCCAAUUUUGAAAAAAGCAUGAAAAUUUAUUUCCAAUUAAGAAUACCAAAAUAUCUUGAGGCCACAUAUGCAAUUAAUCAAGAACGUAUAAUAAAACAAGGGAAUAAAAAAAUAGAAACCUUUUUUCAUGGCCUUUAAGGAUACUGUUGCAUAUUUGGUAAUUAAAAUUUGUAUAAAAUCCAAAUUACCAAAAUUAAUCCUACAACCACAAAUUGGGUUAGUUAAAAUAGAAAACCUAAAAGGGCCAAUUUCCACCAAAAAUUAAUCCUAAGAAGCUCGGACAAAAAAAAAUAAAAAAUUGGACCCAUAUGCAAUCCCAUAACAACAUACUCUUUCCACAACAUUGCAUGCUUCAAUUAGCAAUAUCUCCCUCGUUUCAACUCCGAAUUGUGAUCCGUUUGAAGCGUUGGAUUUCUAAAUUCUCAAGAUUCAAAAUGAUAUGUGAUUUUCUAUGAGAAAAUAAUUGAAAGCAACCUCGAUUAUGGCUCAAAGUCGACGUCAUUUUGCUGCCAUGCACUUUGCACAAACUUGCUUCAUUCGACCACAUCUUCCUCAUUUCAACUCCGAAUUGCAAUCCAAUUAAACCAUUGGAUUCAUGAAUUCACAAUAUUCAAAUCCAUAUAUAGCUUACCCCAAGAAACUAUUGGGAGUUAGUCUUGAUUUUGAGUUCAAGUCAAUGUCACCAAGGAUCUCAAACUAAGAAUUUCCAAGAAUGCUUAUUUUUUCUUUAACCACCAUAGAAUCUAAAAAAAAAAUGAAAUUUUUGCAACAAUAAAAAUUUCUAUGCUUCUUUAAUGGAGCUUACAACCCAUUUAUUGAAAAGCAAAGAUUUUUACAACCAAAUAAAAAUUCUAUACCCUUUAUGGGGUGUACAACCCAAUCUAAAGAACAAUAAGGCAUAGAUCAUAUUCAAUCAAAUGAACAAAUAACAAUCAAUCACAAUUAGAAUCAUCAUAUUGACAUUCAUUCAAUUGAACAAAUAAAAACAUUUGAUUCUUUCAUCCCUUUGGGCCAUGGGAUGAAUAAAACAACCCUACAAAACAGAGUAAACACACCUUAGAACAGAUCUAAGAUGCUAGAACCUAACCUGUCUCUAAUACCAGUUGUUGGGAACUCUGGAUUACUCCAUUUCCAUGCCUUGGAUCAUGUAAGGUGCAAUAAAACCUAUCCUAGGCUCUCUAAAUCUAUCGUAGCAAAUAAACAGGUAUUCGAAAACAAAUAUUGAUUCCAUAGAAAACAUAGAUAUAGAGAAACAAUGCUCAUACUUUGAUCUGGAUGUUCUUAGAUAAAUUCCUUACAGUGAAGAUAACUCUAAAGUCAUAAUGGAUGUUGUAAACACCAUGAUCUUCCACUGUGAUAGAUUUAAAAAGCCUAUGAUAGAUUUUCAUGCACCCUACACGAUCUAAGCCAUGAGAACAUAGUAAUCUAGGGUUCUUGUAGACCCCUCAUUUUGCCCACGACACACAUAGGCUACUAUCCAAGUAAAUCAUUGUAAUUCAUCAACUUGUAGUCUCCGAUUCUUCUUCAGAAGCUUUUUGGAGGAUAAAUUACAGAACUUUGAUGUGAUCAUCUAAACCUUUGAAUUUGUAACUUAAAGUUUUCUGAUUAUUCAAACUUAUCAUUAACCAUAAACUAAAACAAAAAUAUUAAAUAAUUCUUUUAAAACAAAAUAAAAUAAGUUGUCUUCUUAAACAAUACACAUGCCAAAAUACUCAUUUAUUUAUUUAUUUUCUUUAAUAAUUCAUGACCAAAUAAAUAAUAAAAUAAAAUAAAAUAAAAUAAAAAUAUAAUAAUAAUAAUAUUAAUAAUAAAUUAAAUAAAUAAAUAAAUAAAUAAAAAUAAAAAUAAAACAUAGCAACGUUGAAAUUCAAUUUUGUUAAUACUAUCUAAUUCAUGUUUUAAAAUAUAAACUAAAAAUAAAUCUUUUUUUUAAUAAUAAACAAAUAUAUCAUGAACCUCAAAUAAAAAUAUACAUGAGUUCAUAAUAACUAGCAAAAUUCACACUCAAGAUAAAUCAUUUUUUUUAAUAAACACAAAAUUUAUAUAUUUUCAUAAAUUAUUCUAUAGUUACCAUUGAAGGUUUAUUAUUAUUAUUUAUUUUAUAUAUAUAUAUAUAUAUAUAUUAUAUUUUUUCUAACUCAUGCACCACUCACCUUUAUCUUUUCUUUUAUAUAUAUGCACUAGCUACAACCCCAUCAAUGCUAUCACAUCUCUCUGCCACAAUCCAAUUUUGGCUUCCCACACCACCUCAACACAUAUCCAUCAAUCCGACCUAUUCCCCAUGCCGUAGCCAUACUUUUAAUUGCCCAAGACACACCUCAAAUUAACCCUCACCAAGCUGCCUAUCUCCUACAAUAGCUCAUUUUCUUAGUUGCCCAAAAAACCUAUCUCUAUCAUACUCACUUAUCUUUUAUUCCUACCACAACCACACACUCUCUCAAGCUAUCGAAACUACAUCAAUUCACCUUCUAGCUGCCCUACCCCACUGUAUGUGAACCAUUAGCUCUCUUUUACAAGUUGUAGCAGUCAUAAUCAAUAGCACCUCCAUGUUUAGCUUGUAGAUUAAUUCUGAAUUUUUUUUAAUAAACAUAAAAUUUAUAUAUUUUCAUAAAUUAUUCUAUAGUUACCAUUGAAGGUGUUUUUUUUCUAACUCAUGCACCACUCACCUUUAUCUUUUCUUUUAUAUAUAUGGACCUACUACAACCCCAUCAAUGCUAUCACAUCUCUCUACCACAACCCAAUUUUGGCUGCCCAAGAUCACCUCAACACAUAUUAAUCAAUUCGUCCUAUCCCCCAUGUCGUGGCCAUACUUUUAAUUGCAUAAGACACACCUCAAAUUAACUCCCACCAAGCUACCCAUCUCCUGUAAUAGUUCAUUCCUAAAAAGCCUAUCUCUAUCAUCCUUACUUGUUCUUUAUUCCUACCACAACUGCACUCUCUCUUAAGCUACUGAAACUAUAUCAAUUCACCUUCUAAUUGGCCUACCCCACUGUAUCUGAACCAUUAGCACUCCUCUACCAGUUGUAGCAGCUGUAAUCAAUAACUCCCCCAUGUUUAGUUUGUAGAUGAAUUCUGAAAUUAUUUUUUUAAUAAACACAAAAUUUAUAUAUUUUCAUAAAUUUUUCUAUAGUCAUUAAAGGUUUUUUUUUUCUAACUCAUGCACCACUCACCUUUAUAUUUUCUUUUAUAGAUAUGCACCUACUACAACCCCAUCAAUGCUCAAAUUAACUCCUACCAAGCUGCCAUCUCUUGCAAUAGUUCAUUUUUUUUUUAUCUAACCAAAAAACCUAUCUCCAUCAUUCUCACUUGUCAUUUAUUCCUACCACAACCACACUCUCUCUUAAGCUACCAAAACUACAUUAAUUCUCUUUCUAGUUGCUCUACCUCACUGUAUGAGAACCAUUAGCUCUCCUUUACCAACUGUAGCAGCUAUAAUCAAUAGCACAUCCAUGUUUAGCUUGUAGAUUAAUUUUGAAAUUAUUUUUUUAAUAAACACAAAAUUUAUAUAUUUUCAUAAAUUAUUCUAUAGUUACCAUUGAAGGUUUUUUUUUUAAUUCAUUCACCGCUCACCUUUAUAUUUUCUUAUAUAUAUACACUUGCUAUAACUCCAUCAAUGUUAUCACAUCUCUCUACCAAUGCUUAAAUUUGGCUGCCUAAGACCACCUCAACACAUAUCCAUCAAUCCGUCUUAUCCUCUAUGCCGUAGCCAUAAUUUUAACCACCCAAGACACACAUCAAAUUAACCCCACCAAGCUGCCCAUAUCCUGCAAUAGUUUUUUUUUUUGUUGCACAAAAAGCCUAUGCCUAUAUUCCUCACUUGUUCUUUAUUCCUACCAUAACCACACUCUCUCUUAAGCUAUCGAAACUACAUCAAUUCACAUUCUAGCUACCCUACCCCACUAUAUGUGACCUAUUAGCUUUCCUCUACCAAAUAUAGCAGCCCUAAACAAUAUCACCUCUAUGUUUAGCUUGUAGAUGAAUUCUGAAAUUAUUGUUUUAAUAAACACAAAAUUUAUAUAUUUUCAUAAAUUAUUCAAUAGUUACCAUUAAAGGGUUUUUUUUUCUAACUCAUGCACCACUCACCUUUAUCUUUUAUUUUAUAUAUAUGCACCUGCUACAACCCCAACAAUACUAUCAUAUCUUUCUUCCACAACCCAAUUCUUGCAGCUCAAGACCAUCUCAACACAUAUCCAUCAAUCUGUCCUAUCUCUCCUGCUGUAGCGAUACUUUUAACUAGCCAAGGCAAACCUCAAAUUAACCCUUACCAAGCUACCCAUUUCCUACAAUAGUUCAUUUUUUUUACUGCCCAAAAAACCUACCUUUAUCAUCCUCAAUUGUCUUUUAUUCCUACCACAACCAUACUCUCUCUUAAGCUACCGAAACUACAUCAAUUCACCUUCUAGAUGCCUUACCCCAUUAUAUGUGAACCAUUAGCUCUCAUUUACUAGCUGUAGUGGCCAUAAUAAAUAGCACCUCCAUGUUUAGCUUGUAGAUUAAUUCUGAAUUAUUUUUUUCAUAAACACAAAAUAAUAAAAAAUUACUAACUGAAGAUUUUUUUUCUAACUUAUGCACUACUCACCUUUAUCCUUACUUUUAUAGAUAUGCCCCUGCUACAACCCCAUCAAUACUAUCACAUCUCUCCGCCACAACCCAAUUUUGGCUGUCCAAGACCACCUCAACACAUAUCCAUUAAUUCGUCCUAUCCCCCAUGUCGUAGCCAUAAUUUUGACAACCCAAGACACACAUCAAAUUAAUCCCCAUCAAGCUGCCCAUCUCUUGUAAUAGUUCAUUUUUUUUAGUUAUCCAAAAAACCUAUAUCUAUUUCCCUCACUUGUCAUUUAUUCCUACCACAACCACACUCUCUCUUAAACUACCGAAACUAUACCAAUUCACCUUAUAGCUACCUUACCCCACAGUAUGUGAACCAUUAGCUCUCCUUUACCAGAUGUAGUAGUCGUAAUCAAUAGCAUCUCCAUAUUUAGCUUAUAGAUUAAUUUUGAAAUUAUUUUUAUAAUAAACAUAAAAUUUAUAUUUUUUCAUAAAUUAUUCUAUAGUUACCAUUGAAAGUUUUUUUUUUUCUAAUUCAUGCACCACCCACCCUUAUUUUUUCUUUUAUAUAUAUGCAUCUGCUACAACCCCAUCAAUUUUAUCACAUUUCUCAACCACAACCUAAUUUUAGCUGCCCAAGACCACCUUAACACAUAUCCAUCAAUCCUUCCUAUCCCCUAUGCCAUAGCCUUACUUUUAACUACCCCAGUCACACCUCAAAUUAACCCUCACCAAGCUGCCCAUCUAAUACAAUAGUUUAUUUUUUUUUGCUGCUCAAAAAACCUAUCUCUAUCAUCCUCACUUAUCCUUUAUUCCUACCACAUACAACUAGACUCUCUCUUAAGCUAUCGAAACUACAUCAAUUUACCUUUUAGUUGCCCUACCCCACUGCGUGUGAACCAUUAGCUCUUCUUUACCAAUUGUAGCAGUCGUAAUCAAUAGCACCUCCAUGUUUAGCUUGUAAAUGAAUUUUGAAAUUAUUGUUUUAAUAAACAAAAAAUUUAUAUAUUUUCAUAAAUUAGUCUAUAGUUACCAUUAAAGGGUUUUUUUUUUUUUUUUGCUAACUCAUGCACCAAUCACCUUUAUAUUUUAUUUUAUAUAUAUGCACCUUCUACAACCCUAACAAUACUAUCACAUCUCUUUGGCACAACCCAAUUUUGGCAACCCAAGACCUCCUCAACACAUAUCCAUCAAUUCGUCCUAUCCCCCAUGUCGUAGCCAUACUUUUAACUGCCCAAGACAUACCUAAAAUUAACCCCCACCAAGAUGACCAUCUCUUGCAAUAGUUCAUUUUUUUUAACUGCCCAAAAAACCUACCUUUAUCAUCAUCACUUGUCCUUUAUUCCUACCACAACCACACUCUCUCUUAAGCUAUCAAAACUACAUCAAUUCAGCUUCUAGCUGCCUUACCCCACUGGCUGUAAACCAUUAGCUCUCAUCUACUAGCUAUAGCAGCCGUAAUCAAUAGCACCUCCAUGUUUAGCUUAUAGAAUAAUUAUGAAUUUUUUUUUCUUAGACACAAUUUAUAUCUUUUCAUAAAUUAUUCUACAGUUAUAAUUGAAGAUUUUUUUUUUUUUUCGAAUUCAUGCACCACUCACCUUUAUCUACUCUUUUAUAUAUAUGCACCUGCUACAACCCCAUCAAUGUUAUCACAUCUCUCUACCAUAACCUAAUUUUGGCUGUCCAAGACCACCUCAACACAUAUCCAUCAAUUCGUCCUAUCCCCCAUGCUGUAGCCAUACUUUUAACUACCUAAGAAUUACCUCAAAUUAACCCCCACAAGCUGCCUGUAGACCCUCAAUUUUGUCCCUCGACACUGGCAUUUAUCCUUUGGGUGUCACAUCCACCCAUCGUUCGCAUAUGGCACCACUAGGGCCCCUUUUGGGCUUAGUCGGUGUCCGAGCCUCGUGUGGGUUUGUCUGUGGUCCAUUGUGGUGCAUAUGUGGUUCAUUUUGGAGGGUCACCAUGGCCAUUUUCCUAGUCGUUCACAUCAUGCUAUAGGAAGGAAGUGGGGUCAUCCCGAUGUUUUAGCUUAGUUGGAGUUUAUAGGGGCAUGUUGAGGUUCGGAGCACUCGGGCUUGUUUUGAUCGUAUCUCCCUCAUCCAAACUCGGAAUCAAGAACCGUUUAUUUUUAUGGAUUCCUUAUUCUUCCAGGAACAUUUUGUGAAAUUUUCAAAAUUUUUUGCAACCGGUCGGCUGGUUGGCAGCCGGUUCAGCCGGUUCAUCAGGUCAGCCAGUGUAGAACACUGAUUUUUGGUAAUUGUUUUGAUCAUAUCUCCCUCUUCCGAACUUGGAAUCAUGUACCAUUUUUUUUAAUGGAUUUAUUACUCUACUAAGAACAUUCUGUCAAAUUUUCAGAAUUUUUUUCCAUCGGGUCGACCAGUUGGCAUCCGGUUCGGCCGGUUCAGCCAGUUCAUUGAGUCAGCUGAGGUAAAACACUAAUUCUAGUAAUUUUGAGGCCCAAAUCCUACAUGGCUCAGGCCCGUAAGCUCUAGAUCGGUUUUGGGCAAUGUUGUGGGUCCAUUUUAGGCCUUGGUUUGGGUUCCUUGCAGCCCACCACGAAUCCAUAUGGAUUCUUGGUGGUGAAGCAAGCUGAAAACUGAAGGAGUGAGCUGGCCUUGUAAGUUUAAGAGAAGUAAUGAGGGGUGUGGUUCCCAUGCUGAUGAAGGGGAUUUCGGUGCUGAAGGGGAAGGAAUCCAGGAGGCUCAAAUGCUAAGAGGGGAUGAGUAUAAAAGGUGUAAGGAUAAGAGAGCAAAGGGGAGGAGGGGACAUUUUGGAGAGGAGAAAUUUUGCUGGUGAGAAAAACAAAAGGUCAGUAGCAUCUUCUGAGUUGAGAGUGUGGGGGAAAGCUUCAGCACUGUGGUUUUUUUGAAGAGGAGAGUGACAACAUCUCAGUUUUGGAAGUCAUCAUCUACAUACACAGAUCAUAUUUAGUGGAGUUUCUGAGGUAAGCAUGCUGAAUUUUCUUUACUUACAACUUAUCUUCCUCGUCUUCAUAUGCUUUUUCUCCUUCCUCAUCAUCUUUUCUUCCCUUUGAUAUGAAGAUUGUAUUGCUUGGGUGUGGACAAUAAGGGCCACACAUGAUUGUUGUUGUUUGCUUCCUUAAUCACUUAGGAAUUUUCUGACCGAAUUUGGGAUUCUUUACCAAUCGGCUGAAUCGGUUUGGAAUCUGUUCAACCGGUUCAGCACCAUAGCUGGCAGCCUCUGUCAGCCAUGAGGAACACUUGCCUUUCUUUGUCUGGUUCUCACUCAUCCGGGGUCAGAAUUGAGAACCAUUUCUUUUGUUUGUUUCCUUAAUCACUUAGGAACUUUCUAACCGAAUUUGGGAUUUUUUACCAACUGGCUGAACUGGUUGGGAACCGGUUCAACCGGUUCAGCACCAUGGCUGGCAGCCUCUGUUAGCCAUGAGGAACACUUGCCUUUCUUUGUCUGGUUCUCACUCAUCCAGGCUUGGAAUUGAGAACCGUUUCUUUUGUUUGCUUCCUUAAUCACUUAGGAACUUUUUGACCGAAUUUAGGAUUUUUUAUCAGCCGGAUGAACUAGUUGGGAACCGGUUCAACCGGUUCAGCACCAUAGCUGGCUGCCUCUGUCAGCCAUGAGGAACACCUGCCUUUCUUUGUCUGGUUCUCACUCAUCCGGGCUUGGGAUUGAGUGUCGUUUCUUUUGUUUGAAUCCUCACUAAUUUAGGAGUUUUCUAGAAAAAUUUGGGAAUUCUUCUCAAUAGGUUGUACCAGUUGAGAACUAGUUCAACUUGUUCUGCUGGAGAACUUUAGGUAGCCCUCGAUUUUGGCAUUUUUCGAGCCCUUAUCCAUGGGGGCUCAAACCCAUUUGCUAUAGGGCACUUGUGAGCCAUCUUGAAGGUUUAAUUCAAUGUUUCAUUUCAGUUAGUAUGGGCAAUUUUGAAGUUAUGGGUGGUGUGGUCUAGAUGAGUCUAGUUUGAUUUGUAUGACAUUUGGGGAGUCCCUUACCUCAUUUCAACCAGCUAUCUUCCUUUUUGGCACAAGCUUUGAUGCUUGAUUUUGAAUACAUGUUGCGUGACUGACUCACCCUUUGCUGUAGCGCUUGGCUAGAGACCACAGGUACGCAUCGUUGGCUUUGGUUGUUGAAUUCAUAUGCAUGCAUGGUGCUUAAUCUUGAAUGUUUGUUAUGUGUUUAUCUGUGUUUGGCUGACCUUUUAUGCAGCGCUUGGCUAGGGACCACAGGUACGCACCCAUUGUUUUGUUUGGUUGAAUUCAUAUGCAUGCCAAAUACCAAUUAGGAUUGUGUGAUUCAUGACAUCUAUUUAGCCUAGGGUUUCAUUUGACCUUUGACCCAUAUGCUCCCACAUACCCAAUUCAUUAGUAAAGACCGAGUUUCGGGCCUAGAGGGGUGCUACCUCGCAUGAAGUACCUUCCCAAUGGGUAACCUGAUCCCCGGACCCAGAAUCUAGUUUUCGUAGACCGCUUUUUCCAUACUGGGGUCAUUAGGGGUUUUUGUUCUUACUUAAUUUUCCCCAUUUUAAAAACAAAAAUAAAAAGUAAGUGGCGACUCCAAGCGACACCGUUCCUCACCGGGGGCGGGUUUUUCAAAAUUGGAAAACACCAACUUUUUCAUUUCUUUCUUUUCUUUUAAAAGUGAGUCGCGUCGGUUCGGUGGAUCGGGUGAGGGUCCACACUGCCCAUCUCUUGCAAUGAUUUUUUUUUUUUUUUUUGUUGCCCAAAAAACCUAUCUCUAUUAUCCUCACUUGUCUUUAUUGCUACCACAACCAUGCUCUCUCUUAAGCUAUCAAAACUACUUCAAUUCACUUUCUAGCUGCCUGACCCCACUAUAUGUGAACCAGUAGCUCUACUGUAAUAACUGUAGUAGCCGUAAUCAAUAACACCUCCAUGUUUAGCUUGUAGAUUAAUUUUGAAAUUAUUUUUUUAAUAAACACAAAAUUUAUUUAUUUUCAUAAAUUAUUCUAUAGUUACCAUUAAAGGUUUUUUUUUUUCCUAAUUCAUGCACCACUCACCUUUAUCUCUUCUUUUAUAUAUAUAUGCACUUACUACAACCCCAUCAAUAUUAUCACAUCUCUAUACCACAACCUAAUUUUGGCUGCCCAAGAACACCUCAACACAUAUCCAUCAAUCCAUCCUAUCCCCCAUGUUGUAGCCAUACUUUUAACUACCCAAGACACACCUCAAAUUAACCCUCACCAAGCUGCCCAUCUCCUCUAAUAGUUCAUUUUUUUUAACUAACCAAAAAACCUACCUUUAUCAUCCUCACUUGUCCUUUAUUCCUACCACAACCACACUCUCUCUUAAGCUACCUAAUCUACAUCAAUUCACUUUCUAGCUGUCUUACCCCACUGUAUGUGAACCAUUAGCUUUCAUCUACCAACUGUAGCAACUGUAAUCAAUAGCACUUCCAUGUUUAACUUGUAGAUUAAUUAUGAAUUUAUUUUUGUCGUAAACACAAAAUUUAUAUCUUUUCAAAAAUUAUUCUAUAGUUACCAUUGAAGUUUUUUUUUUUCUAAUUCAUGCACCACUCACCUUUAUCUUUACUUUUAUCGAUAGGCACUUGCUGAAACCCCAUCAUUGCUAUCAAAUCUCUUUGCCACAAACCAAUUUUGGCUGCCUAAAACCACCUCAACACAUAUCCAUCAAUUUGUCUAAUCCCCCAUGAUGUAGCAAUAAUUUUAAUUGCCCAAGGCACACCUCAAAUUAACCCCCACCACCCAUCUCUUACAAUAGUUCAUUUUUUUUAGCUACCCAAAAAACCUAUAUCUAUUAUCCUCACUUGUCAUUUCUUCUUACUACAACCACACUCUUUCUUAAAAUACCGAAACUUCAUCAAUUCACCUUGUAGCUGCCCUACCCCACUGUAUGUGAACCAUUAACUCUCUUCUACCAUCUAUAGUAGUCGUAAUCAAUAACACCUCCAUGUUUAGCUUGUAGAUUAAUUUUGAAAUUAUUUUUUCAAUAAACACAAAAUUUAUUUAUUUUCAUAAAUUAUUCUAUAGUUACCAUUAAAGGUUUUUUUUUCCUAAUUCAUGCACCACUCACCUUUAUCUCUUCUUUUAUAUAUAUAUGCACUUACUACAACCCCAUCAAUGUUAUCACAUCUCUAUACCACAACCUAAUUUUGGCUGCCCAAGAACACCUCAACACAUAUCUAUCAAUCCAUCAUAUCCCCCAUGCCAUAGCCAUACUUUUAACUACCCAAGACACACCUCAAAUUAACCCUCACCAAGCUGCCCAUCUCCUGCAAUAGUUCUUUUUUUUCUAGCUGCCCAAAAAACCUAUCUUUAUCAUCCUCACUUGUCCUUUAUUCCUACCACAACCACACUCUCUCUUAAGCUACCGAAACCAAUGUUUUCAGAACCGGACCGGUCAUCGAACUAGAAAAGUUACUGAUUCAUGGUUCGCUGGUUGGACCAGUGGUCGAAUUGUGAUCGAAUCGGUGACGUCAUAAAUAUGUAAUUUAUAUAUUAUUAAAAUUAAAAAUAAUUAUAAAAAUUUUAAAAUAUAUAUGAAUAAAUUAAAAAUCAAUAAUAUUAUUUUAUAUCUUUGAUAUUAUCAAAUUAAAUCAUAUUAAUAUUUUAAAUUUUAUUAAAUGAAAUAUGUAUGAUAUUUAAAUGUGAAUAUAUUAAAAAUGAAAAUUUAAACUAAUUUUAUAAUUUUUAAAAAUCUUAUAUUAUUUUUAUUUAAUUUUAUAAAAAAUGUUAAAAUCUAAUAUAUAUUGUUUUGUUUGGCAUGUUAGAUAAUCAAAUGCAUGUAGCCGAGUGGUGUCCUAUUCUAAUGGUAGAACCUGAGGUGCAAGGUUUAAGCCCUCUUGGUGGAGAGGCUUGUUAUAUUUUUUUUCAUUGAUAAGUUAGCAAUCCCACAUCGGAUUGUGAGAGGAAACAUGCUACAAAGGAUGCCUAUAAAAGCCAUCCUCACCUAAGGCAAAGUCAUCACCUGGGCUCAAGACUCAGCCCAUAAAAUUGUGAGAAUGGGUGUGGGCUUUGUCAUAAUAAGACAAGGCCCAACAUGGGCUUUAGCCCAAAAUAUUUAAACCCAAUGGAACCCCCCUUUCCAUGUUUGCAAAAUCAAGGGGUUAACUUGAACUGUUCGGUUCGUUUAGAACCGUCAGACUCCAGCGAGUCAUCGGUCCGACCGCUGAUUUAAGCGGUUCGAUACCGGUCCAAUCCCUAAAAGGUCUAAUGGAGCAAAUCAGACUGGAAGUGCGACCGAUCAACGGUUGAACCAAUUGGACCGGCCGGUCCAGUCCGAUUUUUAAAACAUUGAGCGAAACUACAUCAAUUCACCUUUUAGCUGACCUACCCCACUAUAUGUGAACCAUUAGCUCUCCUCUACCAGCUGUAGUAGCCAUAAUCAAUAACACCUCCAUGUUUAGCUUGUAGAUUAAUUUUGAAAUUAUUUUUUUAAUAAACAUAAAAUUUAUGUAUUUUCAUAAAUUAUUUUAUAGUUACCAUGGAAGGUUUUUUUUUUCUAACUCAUGCACCACUCAACUUUAUCUUUUCUUUUCUAGAUAUGCACCUACUACAACCCCAUCAAUGCUAUGACAUCUCUCCACCACAACCAAAUUUUGGCUGCCCAAGACCACCUCAACACAUAUCCAUCAAUCUGUUUUAUCCUCUAUACCGUAGCCAUACUUUUAACCGCCCAAGACAUACCUCAAAUUAACUUUGACCAAGCUGCCCAUCUCCUGCAAUAAUUCAUUUUUUUUAGCUGCUUAAAAACCUAUCUCCAUCAUUCUCACUUGUUCUUUAUUCUUACCACAACCACACUCUCUCUUAAGCUACCAAAACUACAUUAAUUCUCCUUCUAGUUGCACUACCCCACUGUAUGUGAACCAUUAGCUCUCCUCUACCAACAAUAGCAGCCGUAAUCAAUAGCACCUCCAUGUUUAGCUUGUAGAUAAAUUUUGAAAUUAUUUUUUUAAUAAACAUAAAAUUUAUAUAUUUUCAUAAAUUAUUCUAUAGUUACCAUUAAAUUUUUUUUUUUCUAACAUAUGCACCACUCACCUUAAUAUUUUCUUUUAUAUAUAUGCACCUGCUACAACCCCAUCAAUGCUAUUACAUCUCUUUACCACAACCCAAUUUUGGCUUCCCAAGACUACCUCAACACAUAUUCAUCACUUCGUCUUAUGCCCCAUGUCGUAGCCAUACUUUUAACUGUCUAAGACACACCUCGAAUUAACCCUCACCAAGCUGCCCAUCUCCUACAAUAGUUCAUUUUUUUUAGCUACCCAAAAAACCUAUCCCUAUCAUCCUCACUUUUCAUUUAUUCCUACAACAACCACACUCUCUCUUAAGCUACCGAAACUACAUCAAUUCACCUUUUAGAUGCCUUAUGCCACUGUAUGUGAACCAUUAGCUUUCCUCUACCAACUGUAGCAAUUGUAAUCAAUAGCACCUCCAUGUUUAGCUUGUAGAUUAAUUCAUAAAUAUCCUAUCUAAAUUUUCAAAAGCCACACCCAUGUCUCUAACCUUUGCAUUAGUCAUUAGAAGUUCACCAAAUCCUUUACUUUAUCCAAACUAAGCACUUCCAUCAUGGUUGCCACUUUUUUCUCCUAAAAUCGAGUACCAUAUAGCACCAUGUACCCUCAUGACUAUUUCAUCUUCUUUCUAUCAUCAAACCUUUGCACCACCUUACCAUAGGCUUUACAACGACUUCAUCUUCUUUCUUCUUUCAAGCCAAACACCAUGUUGCACGACACAACCCCAUUGCAACUUCAUAGUCUCCUUUCCUUCAAGCCGAAUACCACAAUAAUUUCAAUGUGUAGCAAGAUGAUCCAAAUGUGGCUACCAUGAAGAAGAAUGUUGGAUUUUUUCGACAAAGAAGAUGUUUAGAUGACACCAUCAGUGAUUACUCCACAUGCCUCAUCAAGUUUAAAGUCAGAUAACUUGUUGUUGUUGAUUUGUUUUCUUGUUGUGUUUGGACCCUAUACAUGUACUUUUUAUGAAGGCCAUAUAUGGUCAUGCUUAUUUUGUAUUUAUUUUGAUUAUUUCAUUUUUUGUUGUUUUAGUUUCAUCUUUAUUAUAUGUCUUUAAGUUAUAUGAAUCUCAUACAUUUUAAGUUGGGUAGACAUAAAAGGGACGGGAAAAUCAGUUUUCGAUUAAGGCCUGUUUGACCGAAAAAUGGGAGAAUAGUUUUGGAAGUUUAAGAUGUUUGCAUUUGGGUGAGAUGGUGAGUUUAUGUGAGAAGAAGGGGUCGAGAGUCUUGGAAGAGAGGAUAUAAAAUCAGAGGCUCAUUUUUUGUUAGAGGGGUUAACCUUUUUUGGAGGGUCGUUUUGAGAUUUUUGUGGAGUUGAGAAAAAGUGAGAGAAAAAAACAGAGAGAAAAGAGAAAGAAAGAGGUAAUUGGAAGGCUAUGAGUUUUCUUUUUCUGUUCUUGGUUGAGAGAAAUUUGGGAAAGAGAAGUCGAGAUCGAGAGUUCUAGUGGAAGUGGCACUGCCUUUGAACUUCAGAUAAUCGGAUUUCAUGAACUGCAUUUUUUUCUCACAAGCGCUUGGAAUGCAAAUCAGGUAUGUAUUUCUUUAUUAAAUUGAUGAAUUGUAUUGAUGUGCUGAUUUAGUUUAUAGUAUCUAUGAAUUAGCUAAUUAAUCAUUGCAUUUAUUUCAACUUACUUAGUAGAGACCUAACUUUUAGGGCUUAGAGGGGUGCUACAGUUUUUCAUUGUACCUUCUCGAUAAGUAACAUGAUCCUCGAACUUAGACUCGAGUUUUCAAAAACAGGCUUUUCUAAAGAAAAAUGAGUCAUUUUUGGGUUUUUUUUUGUAUUUUUAAAAAAUAAAACAAAAAUAAGUGGUGAUUCCGUUAUUUAUAAAAUUGGUUUUUCACAAACAAAACUCGAGUCUCGCCAUCAAGUGAGAACACAUAUGAAAAUGCAGGAUCACAAAGUGGCGACUCCACUAGGGAUCUUAGAGGGUCAAGCUUGAACUUAAGUUGAAGUAAAUGUGAGGUUUAAUUGGUUGAUUAAUGGAUACCCCUUCUUUGUGCCUUUGUUUGAUUGUGUGAUUAAAGACACAUUGAAGAUUUUUUUUACUACAAAUAUCUAUGAUAGAUGCAUACUAGAUUAUGAUGUUUACUUAUGAUUGCUUCUCUUGCCUAUUAUGUUUUCUUACCAUAAUUGAUUGUAUUCUUAUCGCAUGAUUAUUAUACUUUAGCAUGAUGGUUGAUUUAGCUGUAUGCUUUAUUAGAUUAUCAUGUCUUUGUUUAAUUUGAAUAUAGUGAUGGAUGAUUUAUACUUGUAUUGCAUUACUGAUUGUAGCAUGACUACUCUUCUCUUGUGUGACUACUUGUUGCAUGUUUGUGUGGGACACACUUGUAUCCCCUUAACUCCAAUUCUCUAGUCUUGAUUGGUUUGUUUCCCUUGAUCUUGUAUUAUAUAUGAGACUUGUUAAUUCACGUCUUUUUUUUUUAUCAAGUUAGAGACUAGGAGUAGGGUCCAGUGACGGGCUAUAUUGAUGUUUGGGAGCGCUAUGGAGGUAGGCAUAUUAAUACCAAUAGGAGUCCGAUCAUUGAAGACUUAUAUGGCCUAAAACUGGAUUGAAUGGAUGCUCAUGUGGAGUAAUCAAAGACUUGUAUGAGUUUGAGUUACAAUAAGAUGCUUGGAUAUGUUAUUCUUGGUUAUGGUUCUUUAGUGCAAUAUAUGUAUUCCUCUUGUAUCGUGCUUUAUCCAAUAUUUGAACACCUUCUAGAAGUAGUCAUCCCUUCCAGUUUGGGUCCAUCGACGUGAGUUAGAGUUGAUGGCAGACUUGUUUGCACAAGAUAUCAGAGAGAUAUGAACUCACAGCUAGUUACAGUUGAUUAGUUCACCUCAGUUAUGGCUUCUAUCCAAGAGGCCAUUGCAAGCCUUGGACAAAGGAUGGAUAGGUAGCAGAUUCGGUAGACACCUCUUCAAGAGGAUACUCAAUUUGACCUAGUGCCACCACCAUCUUCCCCUAUUAGUUAGUCAGACCUACCAGUCGCACCAUUUAUUCUUCAUAGUCAGACCGAGGUCGCUCCACCUUCUAUCACCAUGCCUACCCCUACUUCAAAUGAUACCCAUGCUCACGUGGAUAGGCUUGAGCAGAGACUGAGACAUAUAAGAACCUUAGAUGGAGGGGUUACAUGGGAUGAUUUUGAUGGAUCGCCUGUGGCUAACUUACCGGCCAAGUUCAGGAUGUCAGAUAUUGAGAGAUAUACGGGCAUAGGUUGUCCUCGUAUUCAUUUGAGAUUUUACAGUAUUGUCAUGAGGGCUCAAGGGUUCAAUGAGAGCCAAAUGAUUAUGUUUUUCCCUAUGUCUCUAAGUGGCGCUACCCAGAGGUGGUUUGCUUCUUUAGAUGCUUCACAUUGUAGGACUUGGGAUGACUUAGCUCAAGAGUUUUAGAGAUAGUUUGUCUUCAACACUAUUGUUGAUAUGUCUAAGAGAGAGUUGGAGGCCUUGAGGCAAAGACCAGAUGAGUCAGUGACUUCGUUUAUCUCCCUUUGGAGGGAGAAGGUAACAUUGAUGGUUGAUCAUCCUUCAAAGAGAGAUCAUAUUUGCAUGAUUGUGAAGAGCUUACAACCUAGGUUUUCCAAGCAUUUGAUGGGGUUUACAUAUGCAGAUUUUGGAUUUUUAUGAUGUUGAGAAGGGUAUUUCAAGAGGGUUAUGGCUAGAGUCUUUCCCUAUUGAUCCUAAGGGGAAGAAACCAUCAGGAGGUCAACAUUCAGAUGUGGGUGCUAUAUCUACCUUUAAACUAAGGCCUCCUAGAUAUCGACGGUCAUUUCCAUAUACUUUCAGGGCUCGUUCUCCUUACACUCCAUACCCUCAGUACUAGUAUAGGUCUUCGAUUCGUCUACAGGCUUAUGAUCAGACUUAUUUGUAUUUCGCUUUCCUUCAGCCUUGCUAUGCUACUCAGGCUAUUGAUAGGCCACCUAUUGCAUACUCCAGGCCCCGAGCAUCUCAUACUCUAGUUACUUUCAUUCCUAGACCACAAAGGUAGUUUUCCCAACUAGGGAUGCCAUUGAGUUAGGAUUUCAAGAAGCUUGUUAAUGCUAGAUUAUUGACAGCACUAGCUCCACGCUUAGUACCUUAGCCGAUUCCCUCGAACUAUAGACUGGAUCUUCAUUGCCUAUACCAUCAGAGUUUAGGGUAUGACACAAAUAGGUGCAUGACUUUGAGACACACCAUACAUGAUUUGAUAGAUCGGGGUUCGAUGUGGGGUAACCAAGUGUCAUCGCAAACCCAUUACUAACUCAUUCUACUCAUGUAGUACCACCACUAGCCAGGGGUGUCCCCUUUAUUGAUAUUGAUGGAGAUGACUUUAUUCACAUGAUUAGUUGGGAGGAUCAUGCACCAGAUCUUAUAGUAUUAGAUGUGAGAUUAGAAGUUGAUGGAGUCACUUUGGGUACAUCGUCUAUCCUAGACAGACCUCCAUUUCAGUUGAUCCCAAUUCAUGACUCAUUUGUUGUCCAUUGUGCUUUCAUUCCCUUUGUUUUGAUGCCUGAGGAUACUAAUGAGAUUGUUGAUCAAGAUGUCCAUAUAGUCACUUGUAGUGGAAGAGUGACUUAGCCUCCAUUAGCAUAGACUAGACUAUUUGAGGGUACUAGGUCUAGAGAUGUUGUGAUAUAAUAGGAUGAUGAAAUCAUGAGGUAGCUACAAAGUACACAAGCUCACAUCUCUAUCUGGAGUUUGCUAGUUUCUUCUACUACUCAUAGAGACACAUUGAUUAGGACUCUGAGUCAUAUUAGAGUUAAGUCUGUUAUAUCUCCGGAUAGUCUGAUUCACAUGUUGAUUGUUGAUAGAGCUACAUGCAUUGUAUUAUCUACUGAUUACCUACCCCUUGGAAGCCUAGAUCAUACUUUGCCUUUAUAUAUCAUUGUUGGUUGCUUAGGGAAUUGAGUUCCAUUUGUCUUAUUGGACAAUGGCUUCACCUUGAAUGUGUCCUUUAGCUAUUGCUAUGGCACUUGGGUUUGGUCCGUCAGAUUUUGAGCCACCUACACAGUUUGUCAGAGCUUAUGAUAGCACACAAAGAGAGAUCCUUGGCACAUUGACACUUAAGCUAAAAAUUGGUCUAGUUGUAUUCUCCGUAGUAUUUCAGGUUUUGAGGAUACCUACAUUCUUUAACAUGUUAUUGGGCAGACCUUGGAUUCACUGAGCCAGCGCCAUACCAUCUUCUUUUCAUCAAGAGGUGAAGUUCAUACAUGAGGAUAUAGUCAUUACCAUACAAUUUAAUGGAGAUAUUUCUUUAUCCUUUGAGCUAGUUUUAGAGAUUAGCCAUAGUGAGGAUGACUUGUUUUUUAAUGGUUUCACAUUUGAAAAGGUUUAGAUUGUGACUAUUGAGGAGUCUCUUAGAGAUCAUGUACCUCUGUCUUUUGAUCGCCAUAGUGGCACUAUUUUCUUGGUUUGGGAUUAGGACAAUGACAACAUGGUAUCAGUGAGUUUAUAGCUAUUGUGAGUUAUGAUACACCCUUUAGCUUGGGAUAUACACUUACAGAGGCAGACUAUUGAUACAUGGCAUACCUACAUAGACAGAGGCUCAGAGCCUGGUUACUUCACAUACCAUUUAAUUACCCACUCUAACCAUAUACGAUGGCUAAGACAAAAUAUUUUAUGAGAGCUUCUGAGAUGCUUUUGACAUUGGAGGGUAUUAUUGGUGGAUAUGAUGGUGAUCAAUAGAUCGAGGGACUUUUCCAAUAGCUUCAGUUGACAUAUAGAUCUCCUAGUACUUUCAUCUCAGUAUUGGUGGCUCCUCUGUCCCCAAAUUGUGACAGCAUGAUAUCACUUUGUUUUCCUAAGGAGAUAGGUAGCUAGGAGCCAUUGCUUCAGUAUGUAGACAUAUCUUAUGGAGUUGACUUACCAGAUGACUACUAGGAUGAGAUAGCUAUGAUGAGUUUGAGCCAGAUAGUUCAUACCAUUUAACUAGAUUCUUUCACUCCAACUGCCACAUCUGAGGCAUCUACCAUCGAGAUCUUCGACAUUGUCCAGACUAGACCCAUUUCAAAUUUAUUUAAUGAAGAUGAUUCUCUUACAGAUGAUGUACUUGAGGGCACUGUUAGCUCGAUGGUGGUAGUGUCUGACUUUGUGGACUCACCCAAUUCUUUUGAUGUAUUUUCGAGUUUGUCUUCUGCAUUGAUGAUGUACCUAUUGAUUCUUCAUAUAUAGACAUGAGUAUUUUUUAGUAUUCACCUGCUUUUCAUGAUGACGUUACUGUACAUGCACUUAUGAGGACAUUCCAAGCCUCGGUCCUUCUAUUGUUCAACACCAAUUACCAUUUUCACCACAUGCUAGACUAGUUAAAUAGAAGUUAAGGCGAUUGCACCCUUAAUGGAGUUUGAAGGUAAAAGAUGGGACCUAGAAGUAGCUCAGUGUUGGAUUUAUAUUAGUAGUAGAGUAUCUUGAGUGGUUGGCCAAUGUCAUCCCUACUCCUAUGAAGAACAACAAAGUCAGAGUUUGUGUGGAUUUUAGAGAACUCAACAAGACCAGCCUUAAGGACGACUUUCCCUUACUUCACAUUGAUAUGUUGGUUGAUAGCACAGUUAGUUAUUCAUUGUUGUCCUUCAUGAAUGGGUUUUCGAGGUAUAACCAAAUCUUGAUGGAUCCAAAGGACAUGGAGAAGACCGCUUUCAUCACUAAGUGGGGCACAUAUUGUUAUGAGGUGAUGCCAUUUGGGUUGAAGAAUGUAGGAGCUACAUAUUAGAGAGUGGAGACCAUUCUUUUCCAUGACAUGAUGCACCCGGAUGUUGAGGUGUAUGUGGAUGACAUGAUAGUGAAAUCUCGGAGCGGAUCAUCUAGCAACCCUGGAGAGAUUCUUUGAGAUGAUCAAAUAGUUCAGAUUGAGAUUGAAUCCCAAGAAGUGCACAUUUGGAGUGACCUUUGGGAAAUUAUUGGGAUAUAUUGUUGGUAAGGGAGGCAUAGAGGUAGACCCAGAGAAUAUUAGAGCCAUUCUUGAGAUGCCUACACCAAGGACUGAGAAGGAGAUCAGAGGAUUUCUCUGUAGACUACAAUAUAUUAGUAGAUUCAUAGCUCGAUUGACAAACAUAUGUGAGCCCAUCUUCCGACUCCUGAGGAAGAACCACCUUAUUGUUUGGGAUGAUAAUUUUGAACGUGCCUUUGAGAGGAUUAGAGAGUAUUUGAUAUCCUUUCUAGUUCUGGAACCUCCCACUCCCAAUCGACUUUUUUUUUUUUGUAUAUCUUAGAGAUAGCCUUGGGAUGCAUGCUAACUCAGUUCGAUGAUUUGGGCAAAGAGUGAGCCAUUUAUUAUUUGAGUGAGAUGAUGCUAGAGUAUGAGAUGAGAUACAUUUGGAUAGAGCGCCUCUGUUUGGCAUUGGUAUGGGCUAUUAGAAGACUAAAACAUUACAUGACAGAGUAUUCGGUACACUUGAUAUCCCGACUGGAUCUCUUAAUAUAUUUGUUUGAUAGGCCUAUUUUACCUGGUAGAUUGAUGAUAUGGUUAGUACUCUUGACUGAGUUUGAUAUUCACUAUGUUACUCAAAAGUCCAUUAGAGAGAGUGUUGUUGUAGAUCACCUGGCCUCAUUACCAGUUUCAGAUAGUGGAGUUAUUGAUGAUGAUUUCCCUAAUAAGGGGAUUGCAACUGAGACUAGUAUGCCAAGUUGGCGCAUGUACUUUGAUGGUGUAGCCAACCAUCUUGGAUAUGGGAUAAGAAUAUUGUUGAUAUCUCCUUAUGGUGAUCGUAUUUCGAGAUUUGUUCGUUUGGCAUUCCCAAAUCGAUAUCCUACCAUGAAAAAAUAGUCGAGUACGAGGCUUGCAUCUUAGGAUUAGAGACAACUUUAAAGUUGGGUCUCAGAUGGAUGGAGAUAUAUAAAGACUCCAACUUGAACUGAGACAGAUUUUGGGGACCUAAAAGAUUAGGGAUGUGAAGCUCAAUCCUUAUCAUGCUUACUUAGAGCUACUGGUCGGGAGAUUCGAGGAUUUGAGAUAUACCCAUCUAUCGUAGAACUAGUUUGUUAAUGGCUUAACUACUCUAGCUUCCAUGAUUGACAUUCUUACUGAUGUUGUUAUUUGCCCAUUAGUGAUAGAGUUGAGGAUUGUGCCAGUAUAUUGUUGUUUGAUUGAUGAUGUAGAGAUUCAGGAUGACUUACCUUGGUAUCAUGACAUUUAUUAGUUUCUCAUAUUCAACACAUAACUUGAGGUUGCCACAACCAAGGAUAGGAGAGCUUUGAGGCACUUGGCCACCAGAUUUGUGAUAUGUGGCGAGACAUUAUACGGACGAUCAACUGAUGACUUGUUACCGAUAUUCUUAGACCAUACCUUUGUUGAUAGAGUGAUGAGAAAGGUUCAUGCUGGAGUUUGUGGACCACACAUGAGAUGACACAUGUUGGCUCGUAAGAUCAUGAGGAUCAGAUACUUUUGGUUGACCAUGAAGACAGAUUUGUACUAGUUUGUUUAGAGAUGUCUGGGGUGUUAGAUAUACAAUGAUCUUAUUCACAAUCCACCUUCAGAGUUACAUGCACUAACCUCACCAUGACCAUUUUCAAUUUGGGGCAUUGAUAUCAUUGGAAAGAUUUCACCAAAAUCUUCCAAUGGACAUGAUUUUAUCUUGGUCACUAUUAAUUACUUCACCAAGUGGGUGAAGAAACUUCUUAUGUGAGAUUAACAUUAGCCAAAGUUGCUAGCUUCAUCAUGUCACACAUCAUUUGUCGUUAUGAAGUCCUAUAUGAGUUGAUAUUUGAUAGAGGAGUACACUUCAGGGCAGAGGUUGAUGUCUUGUUAUAAAGAUAUAGUAUUCAGCAUCAUAGGUCAUCUGCACAUAGACUAUAGACUAACGGGGCAGUAGAGGCCACGAAUAAAAAUAUUAAGAGGAUUUUACUGAGUAUGGUUGACAAUUUCUUGAGACUAGUCAGAGAAGCUCCAUUUUGCACUAUGGGCUUAUCGCACUUUUUUUUACACUUCUACAGGAGCCACACUCUAUUCUUCAAUGUAUGGUAUGGAAGUAAUGUGAUUCGUGCCCAAUUGGUGUUUCAGCUGAUUCGUGUCCAGCUGGUGCUCCUUGAUUGAGGGAGUAAUCAACAAAAUUUAUAACCUAUUACACCAUAUACUAGGGUAGCAAAGACAAAGCUACUAUAGCAUAGUGGCUCUAGGAUCGUUCACUGGGAUGAGUUUUUACUUUGCAAAUGAUAUUAAUUCAAAGCUAAAUUGGUGCCUUUUCAUUUCAAGGUUAGCUUUAAAAGAAAACAUAAAGAUGUUUGAAUAAAAAAGGUUUGGUUUUAAACUAACCAAAAAUAGUAACUGAUUUUACUUACAAAGAAAAGUGUUUCUUGGAGUUUCAGAUCACUAGGCUCAGAUUCCUCAUACAAAAAGGGAGUUCCGGCCACUUGUUUCUUUUCCUCGCAUUAGAGAAUUAACAUAUAGUUAAUUCUCUAACCAGUGCUGUACAGAUGCUUCCCAUUAAUGGGUUCAAACACUAAAUCCCUCUCACUGAUGCACCUUGCAAUGGCUCAUGCCUCUCACCUAGCAUUUGCCAGUCAAGGUGAUCUUUAACCUUGGAUUACUCGUCAAAAGCUCGCAAGAGAUAACUAAUGGAUGUCUCCUUAGAGUCCAAAAGCUUACCAAGUGUUGGCAAUUCUAGAAAAUCCUACCUUCAAGUCACCUCCCAGAGGCUCACAAGGGGUAAACUAGUGCAUCUCCAUGGACGGAGAUCACUUGCCUUACCAAGUGUUGGCCCAGGUGAUUUAAAGGCGUUUUAAGUUAACUAAAAAGAUAAAAACCAUUAACGGUCACACUUUCUCUUCAUUAAAAACUAAAACAACAAAACUUCCAAUUUAUGCAUGUGGAAACUUACCCGGCUUUCCUUAGCUCCAAGAGACAAAAAUCCUAGCCUCUCAUCCUCUGAGGAAAAACCUUAGAGUUUGAUUGGCUAGAAAGAAAAAGAAAAUGAAAAUGAAAGAGAAGGAAAAACCAGAGCAAGGCUCUGUAUAUUCUAUAUAUUAUAUAUCUAUAUCCCGUUGGAUUACAUGAUUCUAUAUUACAUACUUCUAUAUCUAUUACAGUGGAUGCAAGGAAAUAUAUAUAGAGACGUUUUUCCAACCUUCCUAACUAAGAAAUCUUAUGGUUGGUGGAUUAUAAGAAGAAGAAUGGAAAUUUAUACAAAAAUAUCUGAAGAAAAAUAUCCAAAAGUGUCGGUCACAACUAUCGGGAAGCUUCAGGAGAACACCCGUGCACUGUGCAAAAUGGCUGCGAAAUUCUCGCAGCAAAAGGCAUUGGAUUCUUGAUUUCGCAGCCGUGCAAAAAUCUUCCUUCAGCUUGGAGUGAUAUGCUUGCAAUGGCUGUAACUCAUUCGUUUCAGCUCCAAAUCGUGCACUAUUUGAAGCAUUGGAUUCUUGACUUCCUGAGCUUUGAAAUGGUAUAUAGCAUGUAGAAAAUGGACUUCGUAAAGUGCUCAAAAAGUGCGCAAGAAGACUGCAGCUGCUGUUCUCUGUUUUCUUCACUUUGUUUUUCUUCUCUCCGUUGUUCUUUCCUUGCAUACUUUGAACGAAUUUGGAAAAGGGCUAUGGAGCUCCAAAGCUUGGUUCUUCAUGAAUUUGAACUUCCAAAAGCUUUGCCAUGAACUAUAUACAACUCUCCCUCAAUCUCGGAUUGCUUUGGUGAUCAAAAAGCUAUCAAAACACCAAAACUUAACACAAAUUGAUUAGAAUUGAUUGCAAGGGUCCUUAACAUAUUAAUUGGGUUAAAAAGCAAUAACUACUACUCAAAAAUGUUUAAAAGAGUUAAUUACAAGCUAUGAAAUAACACUUUUUGAGUAGUAAUCAUAAUGCUACCAGUUGAGAUAGAAAUAAGAUCUUUGAGAGUAACACUUGAACAUCAGAUAUCUGAGGCAGGUUGGGCCUAAGCACAUUUCGAUUAGCUUGGUCUUCUUGAUAAGAGAAUGUUGAGAGUAGCAUAUCACACUUAAGCUCAUCAGAGGAAGAUGACCCAUGCUUUCAGAAAGCAGGUCAAGCUUAGAUCGCUACAAAGAAGAGAUUUGGUUUUGAGGGUUCUUAGAGGCUUGGUUGUAGACCCUAGAAUAAACGGACUUGGAGUGGGCCAUAUGUCAUUAAAGAGUUGACUCUAGAGAGUGCAAGAUGGUUGAUGGAUCUAAAUGGAAACCAAUUCUCAGAGCCGACCAAUAUAGAUCAAUUAAAGAAGUAUUAUGUUUGAGACUAUGGUCACAGGAUGGGUGACCUUCAUUUCGAUUAGCUUAGACCUUAUCACCUUUUGGACAUCUAGAUCGUUGCUAGCCCUUUGAGCCUCACAUGAUCAUUGUAGCCUAUUCUUUUUUAUAGUCUUGUUUACUUUCUAUAUUUGGGACCCUCUAAUGUACAUAUGCUUUAUUCAGGAAUUUCAUGAGUCUUGGACCUAUUGAUAUACUCCUAUCAUUUAUCUUGUCGUUAUCAUGAUACCCUGUUUCAUUCUCACCUCCAUUGUUUGUGUUCUUUGUUAUGUUUUUUUUUAUACUAUCAGAUUCAUCUUAUUUCUUCUCAUAGAUUGAGUGAUGAUCUUUCACAUUUCAUAUUGUGUAGAUCGAUCAUAUCACCACUUACAUUCCAUCUUGUAGACAUUGAUACAAAGGUCUUUGGUUGAGAGGGUCAUUUCAUCAAGGAGAGCUCAUUGUUUUUGGAUCACUCUUUGAGAGCAUAUUCAUACCAUGGUAAAAAGAAAAAAACAAAAAACAGUAUAUGUGCAUGAGAUGUAUUACUUCAUUGAACAUGUAUGAGAUAUUUGAGAGUUUAUUAUGUGGAGUUCAUUGGUUGAUGAGAAUGCAUGAGAGUUUUUUAUCCUUAGGUUCAUCUUGUAUAUGUUCUGAGUAUGAGAGAUGGGUAACUCUUUCCUAAAGACUCUGAAUCAUUGUCUCCUUCCAUCACUUUAGUCACCAAUGAUUUGAUCACUUUUCAUGUCUUGUCUUGAGUAGAUAAGAGCAUGUUUUAUUCAUUUUGAUCUUAUCUGUUCUUUAUAUUCUUCAUCAUUCACCAUACAUUCAUCAUUCUUCAUUCAUAUCUAUCUUCAUUCCAUGAUUGAUAUUCUCUUCAUAUCAUCUCUCUUUGUAACUUGAUGCUCACUUCUAUUCCUUUUCCCUAUCAUCAUUGAUUUUGUUAAGACCUUUUAUGUCCCAUGGAUGCUCACAUUAAAUACCUUUAGGUUCAUAGCUUAUGAGAUUAUUUAUGCAUAUUGUGUUUUGUACAUGAGGGUAUGGGUCUUAUCAUUGGCUAUUUGAACUUAGUUUUUUCUUUACCCUAUUAUCUUAGCCUAUAUUACGUCACGUGCCUUAAGACUACCUUGAGGCCAUGGGAUCGGAUAUCAGCUUUGAUAUUCUCUACUCGGGCAAGUGUUUAAAAUUUGGUUAAUGUGUAAGCAUCAUCAUGUUCUUCCUUCUGGGGAAUGUUUCUCUGAUGUCUGGAGUUGAUUCAUAAUGGAUGUAGAGGAUUGCUUGAUUUUAUGGCAGAUGAGAGAUGUUGUUUGACUUCCUAUUUUGCUAUAUAUCAGAUGUCAUACCGAGGCAUAUCCUCUUUCCAUCAAGAUUGCUAGUCUCACUUUGGUUUUCAUUUUGUUUCAUGAUAAUGGAUAUUGAUUUUGACUAUUUGAUUUCUUCAUGAUCUUUAGUGGAAUUGCAUCUCAAGUCAUUAGGUUAGACUUACAUUUUCUGAUAUCCUUGCUAUAUUUGAUGGAGUAACCCUAGUGAGGUAUGCUUUCAUCCAUGCUUUUAGUGGAUCAGUUAAGUUUCAUUAUCAUAUCCCUCGGUGAAAUUCUAUCUCAAGUAAUUAGGAUGAGCCUAUACUUUUUUAUAUCCUCACUAUUUUUUGAUGGAGUUACCCUAUUGAGAUAUGAUUUCAUCCAUACAUAUAGUUGAUUGGAUUGGUAUAACCACUUCUGAUCAUCAGUGGAGUUUAUUUGACCUAAGAUGUUUGGUUGAUGCACACAUCUUUUGAGUCAUCUGAUCACUUCAUCAUUGGAGACAAAUAUGAUGAGUUGGUAUCAUUUGGUUAUCUCCAUGAUUUUGCAUUAGUUGCCAUACUAGGACAUAUUCCUCUUUCUUUUGUUGAGAUGAGAUCACAGGGGAGCAUUACCUUUGAGCUUGAAUAUUUUCAUGGAUUAGAGAUUCUCAAUGGAGUAUUUUGUGAUGACAUUAGUUUUGAUGGAGUAUUUUUUUGAGAUUAUGGUAGUCAUCAUGAUUCCUUAGCAGAGUGUUUCUAAGGUGGAUUGGUUCGAUUGUUUUACAUUCCAGUUCCUUAGUGAAGCAUUUUUGAGAUAGAUCAGUUGAUUAUUUGAGUUGGAGAUGGUCCUUAGUGGAGUUAUCUCCCUAAGUGACCGAUUGGCCAUAUUGAUUUCUUAAUGGAGUAUUGAUGAGCUAGUGGCAUUUUGGUCCCUUAGAGUAUUUUCGAAUAACCUAUCCUCAGAAAAUUCUGGAUGUUAUGGUAUUUCCAUACUAGCAAUACAUAGACCUUGCAUACUAAGGCAUAAUUUCUCACUCGUUAAGGUUAUUGGGAUCAUUAUUUGUUCAGCUUUUAGAGUAGAGGCAUUCAGUGUCAUCUUUUAGAGUACUGAUCAUGUGAUUGAUCAGGGGUUUGUGUAUCACAUUCUCCUUCAUGACCGAUUUAUCAGCUUUCAGAGCAAAAACAUUCAGUGUCAUCUUUUAGAGUACUGAUCAUGUGAUUGAUUAGGGGUUUGUGCAUCACAUUCUUUUUCACGACCGAUUUAUCAGUUUUCAAAGCAAAGACAUUCAGUGUCAUCUUUCAGAGUAUAAAUCAUGUGAUUGAUUAGGGGUUUGUGCAUUACAUUCUCUUUCAUGACCGAUUUAUUAAUUUUCAGAGCAGAGACAUUCAGUGUCAUCUUUCAGAGUACUGAUCAUGUGAUUGAUUAGGGGUUUGUGUAUCACAUUCUCCUUCACGACCAAUUUAUCAACUUUAGGGCAGACGCAUUCAGUGUCAUCUUUCAUAGUAUAGAUCAUGUGAUUGAUCAGGAGUUUGUGUAUCACAUUCUCUUUCAUGGCUGAUUUAUCAAUUUUCAGAGUAGAGGCAUUUAGUGUCAUCUUUCAGAGUAAAGAUCAUGUGAUAGAUCAAGGGUUUGUGUAUCACAUUCUCUUUCAAGGCCGAUUUAUCAGCUUUCAAAGCAAAGACAUUUAAUGUCAUCUUUUAGAGUAUAGAUCAUGUGAUUGGUUAGGGGUUUCUGUAUCAUAUUCUCCUUUAUGGCUUCUUUAUCAGCUUUUAGAGUAGAGAUAGUUAGUGUCAUCUUUCAAGGAUACUUUCCAGAUUAGCUUUUAGAGUCACUCUUAUUAGUUUAGCAUUCUAAGUUGCUUGGCUACCAGAGUCAUCUUUUGAUAAAGAGUUAUGUUUGUAGUUUCGACACUCAAAGUCUUUGUAUUGUCGUUCUAGUGUUCAAAGUCAUUUAUCUUCUUAGUAUUGAGCAUUCUCAAAUUACUUCUAUGAUUUUAUUGCCUAUGAUCUUUCUUUCUUGAUUGUGUCUUUCAGAGUCAUUUGGCCUCAUUUGUUCAGUGUUUUGGAUUCAGUGUUAUCUCUACCUUCUUACUCUUUGAUUUUGCUUGUCAGUUUAUUAAGUCAUGUGUCAGGGCAAAAUUUUAGGAUUUUUUCUAUUCUUCGAUAUAGUUCACUUGGUUUCAUUCAUUUUUCACAUGCUCAUGAUUAAUUCAUUAUACUCGUGACUUUUAUUGAAGAGGGGCAUAUUUGUAGAUCCCUUAUUUUACCCACGACACAUAUAGGCUACUAUCUAAGUAAAUCAUUGUAAUUCAUCAACUUGUAGUCUCCGAUUCUUCUUUGGAAGCUUCUUAGAGGAUAAAUUACGGAACUUUGAUGUGAUCACCUAAACCUCUGAAUUUGUAACUUAAAGUUUUCUGAUUAUUCGAACUUAUCAUUGACCAUAAACUAAAACAAAAAUAUUAAAUAAUUGUUUUAAAAUAAAAUAAAAUAAGUUGUCUUCUUAAACAAUAAACAUGCCAAAAUACUCAUUUAUUUAUUUAUUUUCUUUAAUAAUCCAUAACCAAAUAAAUAAUAAUAAUAAUAAAAAUUUAAUAAAUAUAAACGAAAAUAAAAUAUAGCAAUGUUAAAAUUCAAGUUUAUUACUACUAUCUAAUUCAUGUUUUAAAAUAUAAACUAAAAAUAAAUCUUGUUUUUUUAGUAAUGAACAAAUAUCAUGAACCUUAAAUAAAAAUAGACAUUUGAGUCCAUAAUAACUAGCAAAAUUUACACUUAAGAUAAAUUAUUUUUUUAAUAAACACAAAAUUUAUAUAUUUUCAUAUAUUAUUCUAUAGUUACCAUUCAAGGUUUUUUUUUCUAACUCAUGCACCACUCAUCUUUAUCUUUAUAUAUAUAUAUAUAUAUAUAUAUAGCACCCCAUCAAUGUUAUCAUAUCUCUUUACCACAAACCAAUUUUGGCUACCUAAGACCACCUCAACACACAUCCAUCAACCUGUCCUAUCCUCCAUGUCGUAGCCAUUCUUUUAGUUGCCCAAGACACACCUCAAAUCAACCCCACCAAGCUGCCCAUCUCCUGCAAUAGUUUUUUUGUCUGCCCAAAAAACCCAUCUCUAUCAUCCUCACUUUGUCCUUUAUUCCUACCAUAGCCAUACUUUUUCUUAAGCUACCAAAACUACAUCAACUCACUUUCUAGCUGGCCUACCCCACUAUAUGUGAACCAUUAGCUCAUCUCUACCAGUUGUAGCAGUCGUAAUCAAUAGCUCCUCCAUGUUUAGCUUGUAGAUUAAUUCUAAAAUAUCCUAUCUAAAUUUUCAAAAGCCCACACCCAUGCCUCUAGUCUUUGCAUUAGUCAUCAUAACUUCACCGAAUCCUUUACUUUCUCCAAACUAAGCACUUCCAUCAUAGUUGCCACUUUCCUUUCUCAAAUCCGAGCACCAUACAACACUAUGUACCCCUACGACAAUUUCAUCUUCUUCCUACCACCAAACCGUUGCCCCACCUUACCAUAGGCUCCACGAUGACUUCAUUUUCUUUCUUCCUUUAAGCUAAACAUCACAGUGCACCACACGACCCACUACAACUUUGUAUUCUCCUUUUCUUCAAGCCAAAGACCACAACAAUUUCGAUGUGUAGUAAGAUGGCUCAAAUAUGGCUACCAUGGAGAAGAGUGUCGGGCUUUUCGACAAAGAAGAUGUUCAGAUGACACCACUAGUGAUUACUCCACAUGCCUCGUCACCCUUGAAGUCCAGAUAAUUUGUUGUUGUUUAUUUGUUUUCUUGUUGUGUUUGGACCCGGGACAUGUAUUUUUUAUGAAGGCCAUGUAUGGUCAUGCUUAUUUUGUAUUUAUUUUGCUUAUUUCAUUUUUUGUUGCUUCGGUUUCAUUUUUAUUAUAUGUAUUUAAGUUAUAUGAAUAUCAAACAUUUUAAAUUGGGUAGACAUAAAAGGGGCAAGAAAAUUAGUUUUUGACUAAGGCUUGUUUGGCCGAAAAAAAGGGGAAUGAUUUUGGAAGUUUAGGAGGUUUGCAUUUGGGUGAGAGGGUGAGUUCAUGUGAGAGGAAUGGGUCGAGAGUCUUGGAAGAGAGGGUAUAAAAUCAUAUGCUCAUUUUUUGUUAAAGGGGUUAGCAUUUUUUGGAGAGCCUUUUUGAGAUCUCUGUGGAGUUGAGAAAAAGUGAGAGAAAAAAUAGAGAGAAAAGAAAAAAGAAAGAGGUAAUUGGAAGGCUAUGAGUUUUUUUUUUUUUUUUUCAUUUCUUGGUUGAUAGAAAGUUGGGGAAGAGAAGUAAAGAUGGAGAGUUCCAGUGGAAGUGGCACUACCAUUGAACUUUAGAUCAUCCGAUUUCGCGAACUGCAUUUUUUUCUCAAAAACGCUUGGAAUGCAAAUAAGGUAUGUCUUUCUUUAUUAAAUUGAUGAAUUGUAUUGAUGUGCUUAUUUAGUUUAUAGUAUCUAUAAAUUAACUAAUUAAUCCUCGCAAUUAUUUCAUUUUACUUAGUAGAGACCUAACUUUUAGGGCUUAGAGGGGUGCUACAGUUCUUCACUAUACCUUCCCGAUAAGUAACCUAAUCCCUGGACUUAGACUCAGGUUUUCAAAGACAGACUUUUCUAAAGAAAAAUGAGUCAUUUUUUAAGGGUUUUUCCUUCUUAUUUUGUUUGCCCUUUUAAAAAAUAAAACAAAAAUAAGUAGUGACUCCGUUAUUUAUAAAAUUGGUUUGUCACAAACAAAAAGCGAGUCUUGCUAUCGAGUGAGAACGCAUGUGAAAAUGCGGGAUCACAUUUCCCAACACAACCAAAGGGAAACUCUAUCUUAAUCUUAUGAGAUAUCAUGGUACCUCUAUUGAGAAUACCUAUUAUUACCAACUUACUUCAAUAGUGACCCAAACUAUAGGGAAUAUAUGAUCAUCUUACAAUUUCAUUCGUAGGUUAAUUAAAACCAUUGCUAACUUUAGCAUAAAAUUAAUAUUCUCUCAAGGUUGAGAGACAACAUAAUGAAGCAGCUUGGUGAAUUCAUGGCUACUUGAUAACCAUGUAUGGUUACACAUUAGAUAGAACCUAUGGUGAGUCAUGAUGUAAGCUGUCGGUUUGUUAUAACUUCACUAAGCUACUAUGUUAUAUUAUCUCUUAACUUUGAGAGACUCUUGAGUCUAUGCCGAAGUUAGUAAUGACUAUGAGCUAUAUAUGAGAUACUAAAAUGAUGAUAUAUUCCUUAUUGAUUUGGUCACUAUUGAUAGAAGUUGGUAGUAAUGGGUUAUUAGAGCCAAAAUAUGUGCUCCAAUCACACAAAUAUGACAUGAUUUAUGUAACAUAAAAAGCUCUAACUAUCCAAGUUGACUCAAAUUGAUGCUAAGACUUUAACUAUGGAUAUAAAUUCUAUUUUAAGCCUAAUUCCAGGUUUAUGGGAUGAAAAGAAUGCUAAGUGAAAAGUCAUUUUCAACCAAGGAAAUAGAAGAGGUUAAAUAUGCAUAAAUGAGAGACUUGGGACUAGUGAACUAUGAAGAGUCCAAGAAGUGGCAUUAUAAGAAAACCAUAGGCAUGAAAUACUAGCAAGGGGUGUUGUGUAUUGAGAUAGAGGGCAAGCAACCAUAAUAGAGGAGGGAAGCACAUGCAAUCAAGUUCACAUGGAAAUUUAGAACUCAAAAUUUGGCUACAACAUAUACUUUGAUUUUAAGGUAAAAUUUAGAGCACUUACUAAUGUCAUUUUUGGGCAUGCUAUAUAUCAUUUCUAAGCUCAAGAAGUCAAGAGUUCAAUGCUUUAAAAGGUGUGCAAAUCAGAAUUGCCAUGAUAAAGUCAUGCACGUUAGAAAUAAACUAGUAGUGGGUGAGUUCAAAAUUCACCGUGAAUUUUGAACUCACCAUGGUGAUUUCGAAUUUGGCACUUUUCCUCCACUUAUGAGUUCAAAAUUGAUUUGGAACUCAUCCCAACUUUAAACUUAGCUAUUGAUGAUUUUGGGUUUUGAGCUCCAAAACAUGUCAAAACGAGUUUCAAAUGCCUUCAUCUAAUUCGGAAUGCAUGACACUUAUUUAAAACUCGUAAUAUUUUCAAUCUUUUAAGUUGUUUAUGACUUUUCUUUGUAAUAAGUGGCCAAUGGAAGUAUGCACAUGUUAGGUUAUUGAAUUUAUUAUAUAAACUCCUUUAGCUCUAGGUUUAAGGGAGAGAAAAAAGGAUAAAAUGUAGAGAGAGAUUGAUCUAUUCUCUUAAAAUUAUUUAAUAAAGUUUUAGGUUUUCUUUUCUUUUCUUUCAUUUUUCAAUCUUUAUUUUUUAUUUUUUUGGUAAUUAAAUAUAGGUUGUGAGAAGAAACCCACCACCAUGUUUAACUAGGUUGAUUGAUUUAGAGAUGCUAACAUGAAGGUGAAGAAUCCAAAGGAGUGACAAGAAAUGAUAAUGUAUUAAAUGGUUUGAUUACGUUUUCCAGUUUUCACUAAUAGGAAUAUAUCUUCUAUGUCAAAUCACCUUAGAUAAAUUAUAUAGGAUUCUUAUCAAGAUACUAGUAAUUCUUGGGAAGACUUUGAUUACUAGUUACUAUAGUUUGAUCCUACUGUUAACGAAUCUAAGGGUUGAAUCUAUAAAGAUGGAUAUGGAAUUUUGAUUGAAUAAAAUUGAAAAUCAAAAUAAACCAUCAUAUCUAAUUGAUUUAGGAAUUAUGAUAAUGAGAUUAAUAAUUGGUUGGGUUACAAAUUAUGAAUAUUUUGUCUUAUCCUUGUAAGUUAUACUAGGGAAUGAUAUGGUAGGUUAUUACUAGAUACUAAUGAUUCUUGAUAACUCUUGAUCAUUAGUUAUCUUGGUCUUCCAAAUCAUUAUUUACCUCAAAACAAAGCUACAAGUAGUAAGAAGGGUUAAAAAGCUAAACCUUAAAUCAAUAAUUAAUCUCAUUCACUUGAUGUUUUAGGAAUCUAUUUUAAGAAGGAAAUAUUAAGUUCUCAAUGCAAUAUUGGUCUUAAGUUUUAAUUUGGUUGCAGAUUGACUUUGAUCCUAAAUCCUAGAUUUGAUAAUUUUCUCUCUUUCUAAGGAUUUGACAUUGGAUUGUGAAAUUCUCUAAAAUAUUCUUUCUUUUAUUGAUUCAUUUCAUUAAAUAUUUUAGGGAAUUUUUAUUCAUAUUUAUCCAUAUUUAUUUAAAUUAAGAUUUCUUUAUCUUUAGCAAAUAAUUACCCUUUUUCAUCUAAAAACAAAUAAACAAAUUAGAGUUGAUCCCAGAAAACGAUAACCCACAACACUGCAAAGUCAUGGUAACUCUAUCUCUAGUUUUUCUUAGCUAGAGUUAUCAUAUAUUUAAGCUUAAUUAUUUUAAUUACAAUAGAGAUUUGCAGUGAAUGAGUAUUCUCAAUAGAGACACUAUGAUAUUUCACGGACUUGAAGACAAUAUAUGCCCUUGGGUGAUCCUAAGGAUAUGUGUUUAGAUAAACUAUGGUUAUAGUAGUGCCUUAAGCUCUUUGUGAGAUAGGACAUGUCAAUUGAUUACGUAAUAAGAGGAUUUGUAACUUAAGGAUGGUAGAAGUAAUCUUAAGAGGAUGAUAGUUUUUACCUUGUUAGAUUAUAGACAUCAAUUCAUUGGGAGACUAUAUAUAGUGUAUAGUAGGUCACGAACCCGAACACUUAUUGUCUUGUUGUAAUAUGCAUAAGGUAUUAUAGUAUAGUUAACUCAGUAUAAUGGGAUAUUGAGUCAACUUCAAAAUUGAAUUAUGAGGGAGUCGAUACCAUCCUAGCAGUUCCAAUGGUCCUCAUUCAAACUCAUAUAUCUUGAUGACACUUUUUAUGAGGGUUGAAUUGGCUUUUGGUUCAUUCAUAAAGAUGUUUUGGUAAUUACGUUAGGUUGCCUGAGAAUUAGCGGACAACAUCUCUAGAAUAAGUUAAUUGAUUAAUUGGAGUUUUGAUGGAUUAAUUAAUCAAUUAAGACUCUUUUUUGGGCUAGAUUAAGUGACCCAAGCUCAAGGUAGGUUCAAGUCACUUAAGCUUAGUAGAAACCCUAUAAAUACCCCUUAUAAAAUUAAGGUUUCAAGUCUUCUUCUACCAUUCUCCCUAUGUUCCAAAGAGAGAACCUUAACUUCCAUGCUCAUGACUUCCACCAUUUGUGUUCUUAGUUUCAAGAAAUAGUCAUUAGGUGGAAGAUUGGAGGUUUAUGAGAUCACCUUUGACUACCACAACAUCAAAUAAUGAUUUCAUCAUAACGAUUCAAUCUACAAACAUCCAAAUCUAAGGUAAAUAUUCUAAACAUGUAAUCUAGAUCUUGUGAAUAGUUUUAAAUGUUAUAUUUUUACUAUGCAUAGGAUCUAGUUGCCCUAGUAGUAGUUUCAUGCUCCUAACCUGAUCCUUGGACAGGGAACAAAGUAAUCAAGAUUUCCCAUCAGUUGGAUGACCUUGUUGAAAAGAAAAAUUGUUUUCAUGCCUUGAAAGGUAUGUCUUUCUAGGAAGCGUAUGACCACUGGUAUGGUGUAGUGAUUAUGUAUGGUGAAAAAAAAUUAAAAAUAAAUAAAAUAAAAUAAAAGAAUGCAGUGGGCUGCGAGGCUACAUAGUAGUGAUUGUGCUGUUGGAAGAGAUGAUAAUAAUUUGGUGAUGGUAUAGAUUAUUGGGAGAAGUGAGAGUAGUGAAGUAAAAUAAAAUUGUUAUAUAAAACAAUAAACAAAAACACAAUUAUGCUGGGCUAAUAGCAAUAAAUUAAUCAAAUGGAAACUAAAGGAACAUGACAACGGAAUCUGAAGCAAAGACAUGAAGAACAAUAAGAAACUAAAAACAUGAACCACCUUCCACACACGACACACUCAACUGCAAAACCCUAAUUGGUAGAAAUUAAAAUUGAACCUAAAAUGGGAACCAUGACCACAACAAAUUCAAGGGAAAGGAUGAGAACUAGCACCACCACCAGGACCACCACCGGUGCCCACUCCACCGCCUAGGGUUCCGAUACCACCGGUGCCACCCAAGCUGCCGAUCCCUCCUGGCCCAUCAAGUCCAC